rnacentral:lncRNA from 1 species
CACCGAUGGCCCGCUACGACCGAGCGAUCACCGUCUUCUCCCCCGACGGCCACCUCUUCCAGGUUGAGUACGCCCUCGAGGCCGUCCGCAAGGGCAACGCCGCCGUCGGCGUCCGAGGCGUCGACACCGUCGUCCUCGGUGUCGAGAAGAAGUCCACCCCCAAGCUCCAGGACUCCAGGUAGGCGACCUAACCCGCCCGUUCCUCCCUCCCCGCGCGUGCGCCGCGGGAUCGACCGGAUCUCAUGGUUUUCUAACCGGAAAUCCCCCCUCCCUCGAAUUUCCCAGGUCCGUGCGCAAGAUCGCGAGCCUGGACACCCACAUCGCGCUGGCCUGCGCGGGUCUCAAGGCGGACGCGCGCGUGCUGAUCAACCGGGCGCGCGUCGAGUGCCAGAGCCACCGCCUCACCGUCGAGGACCCCGUCACUGUCGAGUACAUCACGCGCUACAUCGCCGGCCUGCAGCAGAAGUACACGCAGAGCGGAGGGGUGCGCCCGUUCGGGCUCUCCACGCUUAUAGUUGGCUUCGACCCCUAUACUGAGAAGCCGGCGCUGUACCAGACCGACCCCUCCGGCACCUUCUCCGCCUGGAAGGCCAACGCCACCGGCCGCAACUCCAACUCCAUGCGCGAGUUCCUUGAGAAGAAUUACAAGGAGACGUCCGGCAAGGAGACCAUCAAGCUUACCAUCCGAGCCCUCCUUGAGGUAUACUACGUAGCUCACAAAAAAUUAUCAUAUCCGACCAGGAGCUAGAAUCAUACUGCCAUUUUAUUGUAUUUUUGUUAAAAGUGCGAGAAGCAGAAUACCAAUAAUUGUGUCAAUCCAAAAAAUGGUAAUGGCUCAUCUGAGGACAGAUGCUCUAAGAGAUGCCAAAUGGACUAUGGAGAGUAAUUAGCAUAGGAGAAGGGCACACUGUCAAAAAAACUAACCAUAUGAGGAUGACACAUUUUCAUUCUUUUGAAUGAUAAUAUCUCAAUUGACUGAUUAAUUGCCGCACCAUGCGGUGCUGACAAUGGAACUUAGCUGCCCUUACUCAAGGUGUCAGUGGAAUGCUCAUGUCUAGAGUUUCUGUGUGUUCUUUUGUUUUAUCAACAAGCGAAGUGCUUGGUGUUAGUCAUGCUUUACUGGUUAUAGAACUCACUUUUAAUACAAACUUAGGUCAGUUUCCUAAUGCUUGUUGCAUUCAAAAUAUUAUAUCAGUAACUGCUCAUGUGAAGAUUUUUUUAAAAUUAUAUCAGUAACUUAGGUCAGUUUCCUGAUGCUUGUUCUAACAUAUGACAAAUGGGGGAGGAAUUUAUUUUAAUUCUUUCAAGUGAUUAUAUGCCAAUUGACUGAUCUAAUUGGAAUGCUCAUGUCUAGAGUUUAUGUGCAUUCUCUUUGCUCAGCCAGCAAAGUGCUUGUUGUUAGUCAUGGUUUACUUGUUAUAAAGCUCACUUUAGUACAAAGCUAGAUCAAGUUCCUACAUCUGUUUCUAUCGACUGCAUUCAAAUCGCAAUGAAACUAAAAUUGAGUGAGAUAGGAGUGACUCUCACGUGUGCUUGCCACUUUAGGGUGAUACUUGUUCGUCUGUACUGUACUAACAAGAGUACAUGCUCAUAGGCGUCGUCUGUUGUUUUGCUCCUGCAGUCUCAGCAACUUGCAAUGCCAAUUUCAUCUGCACUUGUAUUGUAUGUUAUUGCAAGUACUCCCUCUGAGUGGCCUAAAACGUCUUAUAAAACUUUAAAGAGAGAGUAUUUGAGUAUAAUUAUCUUUCAAAAGUUGGUUCUGUCAUGUCAAUAGUCUAAGAGCAUUGACAACCGGACGCCCCAUAUCCGCCCCAAACGCCCGGUCAGCCUGUCCGGUCACUGCCUGGACAGAAAGAAGCCACACCGGCCUCCUCAAACGCAGCCCAAACGUCAGAGUUGUCCGGCGACCCCCAUACCCAGCCCAUAUGUGGGGCAGUUAUGGGAAGGCCCAGACGUGUCUGGACACCGCCGCCACGUCAGACCGGCCCACUAUGGCCCACACCGUCCCCACAAAUACCUCAGCCGGACGAUCGAACCCUAGUCAAACCUCACUCUCUUGACCUCUCCUCUCCACUGCCGUCUCCUCCCCUUCCUCUCUCCACCCUAUCCCCUCCCCUCCGCCAUGGCCGGGAACGGAUCCGGCAGCGAUUCCGACGAGAUCGACUGGGCGACGCUCGCUGUGGACUCCUCGAGCUCGUCCGUGCCGGACGACGAGGAGCUAGCACUCCGCAUUACCCUCCGCCACUCGCGGAUGGACCGGGGCGGGAGCUCCUCCUCGCUGGUGUCGCCGGCGGCCCGGGUGGGUAGUUGCAGCUCCGCGCUCCGCCGCCGCACGACGCGGUCCGUGCCUUCCCCGGUUAGGCGGCAGGGCGAUCAGUGGCGCCGGCACCGCCAGCAGCUGCUCCUCUUGGUCAGUGCUGGUUGCUCGUGCCUGCAAGGCAGUUGGAGUCUGAGGGCCACGCGUAUCACUGCAGAGGGCCGCGCAGGCCACCUCCAUCCGCUUUGUCUGCGGGUCUUGCAGAUCUACGCCAGAGCCGCCACCGCCCGCCAGCGACGACAACGAGGCCCUCUGUGAUGCCAUGCGCCGCUCGUACACCUCGGCAGAGACGGACGCCCGUCAACGGCGCCGCAAAAUGUGGUGGUGUUCCGCAUCGGGCUCAAGGAGUUCGAGAGGUUGGCGAGGCAGGGAGCAGCCCCGCGUCGCCUGUCGCAUGACGUUGAUCAUCUCCUCCUCCUCGUCCUCCUUGGACCGUGGCACGACCGACGACGACGCUCCAUCCACCGCCAACGCCUAUGCCUAUCUACGUCGGAUUGCUAUGUUCUAUGAUAAUCUACGUAGUUUGCAUGCUUUUGUAUGGAUUUGGGGACGGACAAAUAUGGGGUGUGGUUGUGGACUGGGACAAAUGUGGGCUGCUCGGUCACUGUCCGCGUACGUGCCCGGACACGUCCGCGGGCGUAUAGGGCCCCAAAUUAGGCAGCCACGGUUGUAGAUGCUCUAAUUACUUGUGUACGUCAAAUCUUGAAAACUUGGCUGUGGUUUGCAAAUUUCCUUGUUGCUUUUGUAUAGCAUACAGAGGAUGUAACUGUGUUGACUCUGUAUUGUUGCUUUUGUACUUGUGUAUCAUUGCAUAUUAUGUAAUUGGCAUGCUUUGUGACUCAUUUAGUGAAACAAAGCUACUCCCUCUGUCCUAUAAUAUAAGAUGUUAUUACAACUAAUGUACUCAUAUAUUGGUUGUCAUAACAUCUUAUAUUCUGGUACUGAGGGAGUAUUGGCUGGCAGGGGUUACCCAGAAGUACUGUAGCGCAUAUAAGAUGUAUAACUGUGUAGUCUUUGUAGUAUCUUUAGAGGCGAAAAUUGCUUUUGGAGGCCGAGCUCCAUGGAGGCCUCCUUUUGCAAAAUUCAAAAUUCAUCAGAAUUCAAUUUUUUACAUUUCAAAAAAUUCUGAAAAAAUACAGAUAUACAUGAAGGCAGAAUGUGCAUGUGUGUAAAUUUUCAGAACAAAAUAUGUUGAAAUGAGGGCUGUGCAAAAAAAAAAUCUGGGCCUUAUUAACACAUGAUACUCCCUCCGUAAAGAAAUAUAAGAGUGUUUAGAUCACUAAAAGUCCAGAAAUUUGUCUUUUUUGUACAGGUUGCAUUUCAAGAUAUUUCAUCCUGAAUUUUUACACACAUAUACAUUUCAUCCUUGUAUACUAGCAUUUAGAUUUUUUUGAAGCCGGGAAGUUUGAAUUUUGAAUUUUUCAAAAAUAAAGGGCUACAUGGAGCUCGGUCACCAAAAGGCCCUACUCCUUUAGAGGCAAAUGCAUAUCUGCCAUCCCAAAAAAUAUGUACCGGAUAGGUGACAUUUUCCAUCUCAGAUAGGGACAGAGAUAAUAUGUCUGGGGCAGCCAUGCCUGUUGCGGUGUUGCCCCAGAGAAUCCAUGUAAAAUCCUAGUGGGAAGUGCAAACAUUACAUGAGAAUACAGUGUUUAACCUGGAUUAGCUCUAGGCUUUCGCUGGCUCUGCCUAGCAUAUUCUUAAGUUAACAUGACAAUUGACACAAUUAAUCCCAUGUUUAAAUGCAUAUCCUCUUGUAUCUUCAGAAUAAAUCUUUGGUUUGUCUUCUAUUGAUAAUUGUCUCUAUGACACUGAUUUGAUCUCCCCCUUCUCUGUAGAUUGCCGAGAGUGGCAUAUCCUCUUGUAUCUUCAGCUUAAAUCUGUGUUGAAUAAUAUCUCAAGUUUUUCCAUCUAAGAUAACAUCUCAAAUUAACAUCAUAAUUUAUCACAAUUAAUCAUAUGUUGAAAUGCAUAUCCUCUUGUAUCUUCAGCCUAGCCUGAAUAUUUGGUUUGUCUUCCAUUUAUAUUGGCCCAAUAACACUGAAUUGAUCUCCCCCCUUCUCUGUAGGUUGUCGAGAGUGGUGGCAAGAACAUUGAGAUUGCUGUGAUGACGCACAAAGAUGGUCUUCGCCAGCUUGAGGAAGAGGAGAUCGAUGAGUAUGUUGCUGAGAUUGAAGCAGAGAAGGCCGCUGCUGAGGCUGCGAAGAAGGGUGGCCCGAAAGACACAUAAUGUACUAAUGAUUUAGCACAGUCGCGGCACAUGGCUCCUCUAGCUCUGUUUAUGUUCACAGCUUGUCUGCUUGUUUUAACUGUUUCCGAAGAACUUGUUUGGCCGAGGGUGGUUUAUUUGUUGCUUUGUUUUAGGGGUGGUUUAUUUGUUGCCGAGGGAGGUGCUUGGACUAAUGGGCUUGAUCCCGUCAUGUUGCGGGAAGGCCGUAGAAGGCGUUGCACAUUGGAUCCUUGGAGCUAGCUGAAGGAUUGGAACCGCUCAAAAAAAUAAAAAAAAGCUGAGGGAUUGGAGCAGCAAGGGCUGGUGUAUACGGAACUUCUUUUUUCUUUACUUUUCCUUAAAAAUAUACUAGUUUCAUACCGGCAGGUGUGAAGUAUUUUUUUUCUUAAAAAGAUCCACGCUACAGGUUCAAGGGAAAAAAGGAUUACUGCAACGGGCGUAUGUACGAGGCAAUGAGAACGCCACAUAGCAACCACCUAGUUAGUUGUCGUUUGUUUAACAAACAGGAAUUGUGUGUUCUUUCCAAAGAAGCAAUACAGAAAACAUGAUCCCAUCGAAAGCCUUUGCUAUUGCUAGACCAAGAAACUCCAAAGAGAUGAGAUGGAUAAGAAGCAAGGCCACCGCCCCAACGUCAGCAGCUAUAGCUGACCAACCAACCAUCACCCACUCCCAUGCAUGUCAUGUCACCCGGGCCCCGCGCCGCAAGGAGAACACGACAGGAAACGGAAAGGAAAACAAACACCAGCCACAGGCAGCCUACCUAAUUCAGCUUGGCCAGUUGCGCCUGUCGUUAUUACUCCCACUGAUUGAAUACAUGAUAACCAUUACCGUCGCCAUCGCGGACGACAUCAAGCACGAAAUUGGCCAACCCCAUCACAAACCGCCAAGAAUCUACACCUGGUUUAUUUCCAUCCUCAUACGGUAUCGGAUUAUCAAACUAAUUAAGCACGGAAUAUUCUCGCGCACGUAGCUGAGUAAGCGUGAGAUCAACUGUCAUUUUUGUAUGCGGUUUGGUCGAGCAAGGAAGGAAGCAAGCGCCUUUACGGCGGUGACGGGGCAGGGAUAAGCAUUGCCGGUAGUAGCGCAGAGCCGGAGAAGAUACGGAGGUGAUCCAGUGACUGGGUCGGAUGAGGGGUAUCCAGGUUGGUAGCUGCCGUGGUUGCCAUCGUUGUAAAGCCGCUGUAUGUAUGCGUCGGCGUCGCCACUGGAUUCGAAUGGGAUCGAUGCACACACUCUGGUGGAGCCAGACAUGUCCAUUUCUGUGUUUACAGUAGACACAUACAUCAGUUGCCUAUCAGUAGUGUUUGUCUUUUCUAAGAAUACCCAAAGGAUUUAUCUAUAACUCCACCGCAAAAAGUAAAGAUCUGUUUAUAACUCCACCGCAAAAAAGUAAAUUUAUAAGGCAUGCUAAGUUGCUAUGUGGUUCUAAAAGCUCGGUACUAUCCUGAUGGGUGCCUUGAGGAUACGUUUUUUCCGGUAGUGCUUCGGCAUCUUGGUAGGGCAUCCAACGCGGCCUCGGACUUCUGAAGAAAGGGCUCAUUGGCGCGUUGCUAAUGGCGAAAAUAUCCACAUUUGGCGAGAUAGGUGGCCACCGAGGGAGCAUGGAGGGAAUCUCAUCACAUCGCAGGGCACAUGCCGGCUGAGACGAGUGCCAGAUCUUCUUGAUGAGCGCGGGGCAUGGCGGCUGGACCUUCUUCGUCGACACAUCCUCCCAGUCGCAUUGGCGUCAUCACACGCAUCCGGGCUUGCCCCCGUGGCUUCGACGACACUCUCGCUUGGGCGCCAGAGAAGAACGACAUCUUUACGGUUCGUUCGGCAUACUGCCUAGCCAUGGACAAGCGCGAGCGCUCAUCGGCUUGGGCCACGAGCAAGGCGUUGGAUGGUCGUCGCACCAUCUGGAUGAUCAUAUGGGGGUGCCUUGCCCCCCCUAAGGUAUGCGUCUUUGCAUGGCGGCUCGCGACUAACUCUCUGGCCACUUGGUCCAACAAAUGUUCUCGUCACUUGGAACCAUCUAACAUAUGUUGUGGAAUGGAAUGCGAGGAUGGCUUCCAUACUAUGUGUAGGUGCCCUCGUGCGGUGGACCUAUGGCGUGCCAUGGCACAGGAUUGGCCGCUGCCAGAUAUCAGCUCUGUUUGCAACACAGGCCCGGAGUGGCUGUUCGAGGUGUUGGAGCCGUUCACCGACACCUCACAAUGGCUCUACUGAUGACUAUGUGGCGCUCAUGGCAUAUGUCCGAAAUGAGAUCACACAUGAGAAGGAGGUGCCAACAACCGAGGCAUCACGAAGGGCCAUAUCGUUUUUUCAUCUUGCCGCUACAUGUUCACAUGCAAUAAUGCACUAGCAGCUAAACUUGAAGCAUGCAGAGAAGGGGUUGCCCUUGCUAUGGAGUGGAGCUCAGCACCAUUCAUCCUCGAGACGGACGGCUCAGAGGCUGCUGCUAUGCUCACACACAAGUCUAUAGAGCGGUCACCAAAUGUAGGCCUCGUUCAUGAGAUUAAAGCGAGUAUUUGUGGUGGAAGAGAAGUAAAGGGUAGAGCCAUUAGGAGGGAGAGUAAUCAAGUUAGUAACGAGCUAGCUAGAAUAGGAUGUGCCUAUGUUAAAACUGUCGUUUGGCUUCGAUCUGCACCUGAGAAGUGAAGGCCAGAGCCAUUAGGAGGGAGAGUAAUCAAGUUAGUAACAAACUAGCUAGAAUGGGACGUGUCUGUGUUAAAACAGCCGUUUGGCUACGAUCUGUGAAGGAAAUAUGCCCUAGAGGCAAUAAUAAAGUUGUUAUUUAUAUUUCCUUAUAUCAUGAUAAAUGUUUAUUAUUCAUGCUAGAAUAGUAUUAACCGGAAACUUGAUACAUGUGUGGAUACAUAGACAAAACACCGUGUCCCUAGUAAGCCUCUACUAGACUAGCUCGUUAAUCAAAGAUGGUUAAGUUUUCUAACCAUAGACAUGUGUUGCAUUUGAUGAACGGGAUCACAUCAUUAGGAGAAUGAUGUGAUGGACAAGACACAUCCGUUAGCUUAGCAUAAUGAUCGUUAAGUUUUAUUGCUAUUGCUUUCCUCAUGUCAUAUACAUAUUCUUUUGACUAUGAGAUUAUGCAACUCCCGGAUACCGGAGGAAUACCUUGUGUGCUAUCAAACGUCACAACGUAACUGGGUGAUUAUAAAGAUGCUCUACAGGUAUCUCCGAAGGUGUUUGUUGGGUUGUCAUAGAUCAAGGUUAGGAUUUGUCAUUCCGAGUAUCGGAGAGGUAUCUCUGGGCCCUCUCGGUAGUGCACAUCAUAAUAAGCCUUGCAAGCAAUGUGACUAAUGAGUUAGUUGCGGGAUGAUGCAUUACAGAAUGAGUAAAGAGACUUGCCAGUAACGAGAUUGAACUAGGUAUGAAGAUACCGACGAUCGAAUCUCGGGCAAGUAACAUACCGAUGACAAAGGGAAUAACGUAUGUUGUCAUUACGGUACGACUGAUAAAGUUCUUCGUAGAAUAUGUGGGAACCAAUAUGAGCAUCCAGGUUCCGCUAUUGGGUAUUGACCGGAGAGGUGUCUCGGUCAUGUCUACAUAGUUCUCUAACCCGUAGGGUCCGCAUGCUUAACGUUCGAUGGUGAUUUUGUAUUAUAUGAGUUAUGUGAUUUGGUGACCGAUUGUUGUUCGGAGUCCGGAUUAGAUCACAGACAUGACGAGGAGUCUUGAAAUGGAGCAAUUCGGCCUCCCCCUUCCUUCUCUCAUCCCUCCUCCUUCCUUCUCCCUCCGGAUGAAUAUGGAAGGGGGAGGCCGAAUUGGGAGGUGCCCAAGUAGGAUUCCUCCUACUUGGGGUGCCCCCUUGGCUGCCUCUCCUCCCCUCCAACCUAUAUAUAUGAGGGGGGGGGGCACCACUAGAACACACAACAUUGAUUCCUAGCCGUGUGCGGCGCCCCUCUCCACAGUUUACGCCUCCGGUCAUAUUCACGUAGUGCUUAGGCGAAGCCCUGCGCGGAUUACUUCACCAUCACCGUCACCACGCCGUCGUGCUGACGGAACUCUCCCUCGACACUUUGCUGGAUCAAGAGUUUGAGGGACGUCAUCGAGCUGAACGUGUGCAGAACUCGGAGGUGCCGUACGUUCGGUGCUCGAUCGGUCGGAACGAGAAGAAGUUCGAAUACAUCAACCGUGUUGUCAAACGCUUCCGCUUUAGGCCUACGAGGGUACGUGGACAUACUCUCCCCUUCUUGUUGCUAUGCAUCUCCUAGAUAGAUCUUGCGUGAGUAUAGUAAUUUUUGAAAUUGCAUGCUACGUUUUCCAACAGUGGUAUCAGAGCCAGGUCUAUGCUUAGAUGAUAUGCACGAGUAGAACACAAAGAGCAGUGGGCGGUGAUCAUCAUACUGCUUAGCACCAAUGUCUUAUUUUGAUUCGGCGGUAUUGUUGGAUGAAGUGGCCCGGACCAACCUUAGAUGACCACGUUCAUGAGACCGGUUCCACCGACAGACAUGCAACUAGUUUUGCAUAAAGGUGGCUGGCGGGUAUCUGUUUCUCCAACUUUAGUUGAAUCGAAUUUGACUGCGGCCGGUCCUUGUUGAAGGUUAAAACAGCAAACUUGAUAAAUCACCGUUGUGGUUUUGAUGCGUAGGUAAGAACGGUUCUUACUAGAAGCCCGUAGCAGCCACGUGAAACUUGCAACAACAAAGUAGAGGACGUCUAACUUGUUUUUGCAGGGCAUGUUGUGAUGUGAUAUGGUCAAGACAUGAUGUGAUAUACGUCAUUAUAUGAUAUGAUCAUGUUUUUGUAAAAGUUAUCGGCAAUUGGCAGGAGCCUUAUGGUUGUCGCUUUAUUGUUUGAAAUGCAAACGCCAUGUAAUUGCUUUACUUUAUCACUAUGCGUUAGUGAUAGUUGUAGAAGCAAUAGUUGGCGAGACGACCACGACGUUACGAUGGAGAUCAAGGUGUCAAGCCGGUGACGAUGGAAAUCAUGACGGUGCUUUGGAGAUGGAGAUCAAAGGCACAAGAUGAUGAUGGCCAUACCAUGUCACAUAUUUUGAUUGCAUGUGAUGUUUAUCUUUUAUCCAUCUUAUUUUGCUUAGUACGACAGUAGCAUUAUAAGAUGAUCCCUUACAAAAAUGUCAAGGUAUAGUGUUCUCCCUGAGUAUGCACCGUUAAGACAGUUCGUCAUGCCGAGACACCACGUGAUGAUCGGGUGUGAUAAGCUCUAUGUUCACACACAACGGGUGCAAGACAGUUUUGCACAUGCGGAAUACUCGGGUUAAACUUGACGAGCCUAGCAUGUACAGAAAUGGCCUCGGAAUACCGGAGACCGAAAGGUCGAACGUGAAUCAUAUAGUAGAUAUGAUCAACAUAGAGAUGUUCACCAUUGAAGACUACUCCAUCUCACGUGAUGAUCGGACAUGGUUUAGUUGAUAUGGAUCACGUGAUCAUUUAGAUGACUCGAGGGAUGUCUUUCCAAGUAGGAGUUCUUAAGUAAUAUGAUUAAUUGAACUUAAUUUAUCAUGAACUUAGUCCUGAUAGUUUUUGCAUAUCUAUGUUGUAGAUCAAUGGCCCGUGCUACCGUUCCCUUGAAUUUUAAUGCGUUCCAAGAGAAAACUAAGUUGAAAGAUAAUGGUAGCAACUACACAGACUGGUCUGUAACUUAAGGAUUAUCCUCAUUGCUGCACAGAAGAAUUAUGCCUUGAUGCACCGCUAGGUGUGCCACUGAUAACCCACAAGUAUAGGGGAUCACAACAAUUUUCGAGGGUAGAGUAUUCAACCCAAAUUUAUUGAUUCGACACAAGGGGAGCCAAAGAAUAUUCUCAAGUAUUAGCAGUUGAGUUGUCAAUUCAACCACACAUGGAUAACUUAAUAUCUGCAGCAAAGUAUUUAGUAGAAAAGUAGUAUGGAAUUAACGGUAACGAAAGCAAAAGUAAUAUUUUUGGGUUUUGUAGUGAUUGUAACAGUAGCUACGGAAAAGUAAAUAAGCGGAGAACGAUAUGUGAAAAGCUCAUAGGCAUUGGAUCGGUGAUGGAGAAUUAUGCCGGAUGUGGUUCAUCAUGUAACAGUCAUAACAUAGGGUGACACAGAACUAGCUCCAAUUCAUCAAUAUAAUGUAGGCAUGUAUUCCGAAUAUAGUCAUACGUGCUUAUGGAAAAGAACUUGCAUGACAUAUUUUGUCCUACCCUCCCGUGGCAGCGGGGUCCUAGCGGAAACUAAGGGAUAUUAAGGCCUCCUUUUAAUAGAGUACCGGACCAAAGCAUUAACACAUAGUGAAUACAUGAACUCCUCAAACUACGGUCAUCACCGGGAGUGGUCCCGAUUAUUGUCAUUUCGGGGUUGCCGGAUCAUAACACAUAGUAGGUGACUAUAGACUUGCAAGAUAGGAUCAAGAACUCACAUAUAUUCAUGAAAACAUAAUAGGUUCAGAUCUGAAAUCAUGGCACUCGGGCCCUAGUGACAAGCAUUAAGCAUAGCAAAGUCAUAGCAACAUCAAUCUCAGAACAUAGUGGAUACUAGGGAUCAAACCCUAACAAAACUAACUCGAUUACAUGAUAAAUCUCAUCCAACCCAUCACCAUCCAGCAAGCCUAUGAUGGAAUUACUCACGCACGGCGGUGAGCAUCAUGAAAUUGGUGAUGGGGGAUUGUUGAUGAUGACGACGAUGACGGAUUCCCCUCUCCGGAGCCCCGAACGGACUCCAGAUCAGCCCUCCCGAGAGGUUUUAGGGCUUGGCCGCGGCUCCAUAUCGUAAAACGCGAUGAAUCCUUCUCUCUGAAUUUUUUGUCCCCGAACACGAAUAUAUGGAGUUGGAGUUGAGGUCGGUGGAGCAACAGGGGGCCCAUGAGGCAGGGGGCGCGCCCAGGGGGGCAGGCGCGCCCCCACCCUCGUGGACAGGUGGUGGCCCCCCUGGCCUUGAUUCUUUCGCCAAUAUUUUUAAUAUUUUCCAAAAAUAAGUUCUGUGGAGUUUCAGGUCAUUCCGAGAACUUUUGUUUCUGCACAUAAAUAACACCAUGGCAAUUCUACUGAAAACAGCGUCAGUCCGGGUUAGUUCCAUUCAAAUCAUGCAAGUUAGAGUCCAAAACAAGGGCAAAAGUGUUUGGAAAAGUAGAUACGACGGAGACGUAUCAACUCCCCCAAGCUUAAACCUAUGCUUGUCCUCAAGCAAUUCAGUUGAUAAACUGAAAGUGAUAAAGAAAAACUUUUACAAACUCUGUUUGCUCUUGUUGUUGUAAAUAUGUAAAGCCAACAUUCAAUUUUCAGCAAAGAUUAUGACUAACCAUAUUCACAAUAACAUUUAGGUCUCAUGUUUACUCAUGUCAACGGCAUAAUCAACUAGCGAGCAAUAAUAAUAAAUCUCGGAUGACAACACUUUCUCAAAACAAUCAUAAUAUGAUAUAACAAGAUGGUAUCUCGCUAGCCCUUUCUGAGACCGCAAAACAUAAAUCCAGAGCACCUUUAAAGAUCAAGGACUGACUAAACAUUGUAAUUCAUCGUAAAAGAGAUCCAGUCAUAGUCAUACCCAAUAUAAAUUAAUAGUAAUGGAUGCAAAUGACAGCCGUGCUUUCCAGCUGGUGCUUUUUAAUAAGAGGGUGAUGACUCGACAUAAAAGUAAAUAGAUAGGCCCUUCGCAGAGGGAAGCAGGGAUUUGUAGAGGUGCCAGAGCUCGAUUUUGAAAUAGAGAUAAAUAAUAUUUUGAGCGGCAUACUUUCAUUGUCAACAUAACAAACGAGAGAUGGCGAUAUCUUCCAUGCUACACACAUUAUAGGCGGUUCCCAAAUAGAAUGGUAAAGUUUAUACUCCCCCUCCACCAACAAGCAUCAAUCCAUGGCUUGCUCGAAACAACGAGUGCCUCCAACUAACAACAGUCCUGGGGGAGUGUUGUUUGCAAUUAUUUUGAUUAAGUUUGCAUAAAGCAUGGGACUGGGCAUCCCGGUGACCAGCCAUUUUCUCGUGAGUGAGGAGCGGAGUCCACUCCUCUUGAGAAUAACCCGCCUAACAUGGAAGAUAAGGACAACCCUGGUUGAUACAUGAGCUAUUCGAGCAUACAAAACAGAAUUUCAUUUGAAGGUUUAGAGUUUGGCACAUACAAAUUUACUUGGAACGACAGGUAGAUACCACAUAUAGGAAGGUAUGGUGGACUCAUAUGGAAUAACUUUGGGGUUUAAGGGAUUGGAUGCACAAGCAGUAUUCCCGCUUAGUACAAGUGAAGGCUUGCAAAAGACUGGGAAGCAACCAACUAGAGAGCGACAACAGUCAUGAACAUGCAUUAAAAUUAAUGAACAUUGAGUGCAAGCAUGAGUAGGAUAUAAUCCACCAUGAACAUAAAUAUCAUGAAGGCUAUGUUGAUUUGUUUUAACUACAUGUGUGAACAUGUGCUAAGUCGAGUCACUUAAAUCAUUCAAAGGAGGAUACCACCCCACUAUACCACAUCACAACCAUUUUAAUAGCAUGUUGGCACGCAAGGUAAACCAUUAUAACUCAUAGCUAAUCAAGCAUGGCACGAGCAACUAUAAUCUCUAAUUGUCAUUGCAAACAUGUUUAUUCAUAAUAGGCUGAAUCGGGAACGAUGAACUAAUCAUAUUUACAAAAACAAGAGAGGUCGAGUUCAUACCAGCUUCUCUUAUCUCAAUCAGUCCAUCAUAUAUCGUCAUAAUUGCCUUUCACUUGCACGACCGAACGAUGUGAAAAUAAUAAGAGUGCACGUGCAUUGGACUAAGCUGGAAUCUGCAAGCAUUCAAUAAACAGGAGAAGACAAGGUAACAUGGGCUCUCGGUUAAAUCAACAAUACUGCAUAUAAGAGCCACUUCAACAAUUUAAUUAUGGUCUUCUCCUAUCGACCCCCAAAGAAAAGAAAAGAAAUAAAACUAUUUACACGGGAAAGCUCCCAACAAGCAAAAGAAGAACGGGAAAUCUUUUUGGGUUUUCUUUUUAAUUAUUACUACUACAGCAAGAAAGGUAAACUAACUAAAAACUAUUACUAAUUUUUUUUGGUUUUCUUAAGGUUUAUCAAACACACAAGAAGAAAGCAAGAAAAAGAAAAUAAACUAGCAUGGAUAUUAUAGUGAAAAAGUAUGAGCACCAACAUCUAGCAAUGAGUGUGUGAACAUAAAUGUAAUGUCGGUGAGAGAUACGUACUCCCCCAAGCUUAGGCUUUUGGCCUAAGUUGGUUUAUUGCCACAGAUGGCUGGGCGGAUAUCCAAAGUUGUAGUUGGGGUGGUACUGAGAUGCAGCGGCUAUUGCAUCGUGGGCUGCAGCUUGGAGGCGAGCUGCCCUCGUCCUCCUUUCGUACUAAUUUGCCUCCUCCCUGGUUAUAAAAUGUCUCCCCUUUGCCUGAAAGUCAAAGAGAGCAGGAGCAGGGAGAACAAUAUUGACAGCAUGACGCCUGUCAAAGAUUAGUCGGUACUGGAGAGGUGGUUCAUUCCUCUCAACAAAAUGAUGGUGAACCAUAGCAUUAAAGUCUAGAUAAGUAGGAGGCAAUUCAAUAUCAUCAUCACGUAUGCUUACAUCAAGAAAAUCACCUAAGCGGGUUACAUAAAUUCCACCAAAUAAAUCUCCAUUAAAUCUAUUAUGAUGCAACCUACGUGCAACAAUGGAUCCCAAAUUAUAAGAUUUAUCUCCUAACACGGCACUCCUAAGAAUACUGAGGUCAGGGACACACAUAUGACAUGCUUCAUCUUUACCAUUUAUGCACCUACCUAUGAAGAGAGCAAAAUAAUGUAUAGCAGGAAAAUGAAUGCUCCCUAUGGUAGCUUGGGCUAUGUCUCUAGAUUCCCCCACAGUUAUACUAGCAAGGAAAUCUCUAAAUUCAGAUUUGCGAGGUUCACUAGCACUACCCCAUUGUGGAAGUUUGCAAGCAGUAGUAAAAUCCUCUAAGUCCAUAGUAUAAGAUUUUUCAUAAAGAUCAAACAGAACAGUUUGAGAAUUGCGUGAAGAUGAAAAUUCAAACCUCCUCACAAAGGAACUAGUGAGAUAGUGGUACUGGCGGCACUUUUCUGCCUCGAAGCUCACAAGAUCGGUGUUACGCAAAUAUGCAUUAAAUUUGUCCUUAAUUCCUGCUCGAUCCAUGAAGUCCUCUAAAGGCCAUUCACAAGCCCGCACUGGAGCGUUCCUUGGUGGCUCAUCAUCGGCAUCACGCAUUGCAAGACUGGGUCCUUUUUUCCUUGAAGAACCACCUUGGUACAUUUUCCUAAGCAUAUUUCUUCCUGUGAAAAAUUUCUGAAAUUUUUAGUAACUUCAAAAUAAAAGUGAACCAAGCUCAACAAAAUUGAUAGCAACCACUCCUACAAGUUCCUAGAGCCUAUAUCAUGCAUUAGAACUACUUGGAACCAUAUAAAUUUGACAUGCAAGCUCAAGAACAUGGUCACCUAGGCAACACAAAUUUGCAAUGAAUAAAGCACUAGAACAAAAACUAAUUGGACCAAUGGAGGAGUCACAUACCAAGGAACAAUCCCUCCAAGCAGUUUUGUGAGAGGUGCUUUGAGCAAGGAGAUCGAAAAUCGCAGCAAAAUGAGCUAGAACUCGUGCUUGAGCCGGAUAGUGAUUUUUUUUGGGAGGAAGAAGAAGUGUGUGGGUGCAGGAAUAAGUGGAGGGAAGCCACCAUGGGCCCACGAGGCAGGGGGGUGCCCUGUAGGGGUGGGCGCGCCCUGGACCCUCGUGGCCAGGUGCUUGCUCCCCCUACUAUGUUCUCAGUGCCAGAUAUUCUCAAAUAUUCCAGAAAAAUCAUAUUAAAUUGGCAGGGCAUUUGGAGAACUUUUAUUUUCGGGGUAUUUUUAUAUUGCACAGAUAAUUCAGAAAACAGACAGAAAAAUACUAUUUUUACUUUAUUUCAACUAAAUCACAGAAAGUAGAGACAGGGUACAGAAGGUUGUGCUUUCUAAUUUCAUCCAUCUCAUGCUCAUCAAAAGGAAUCCACUAACAAGGUUGAUCAGGUCUUGUUAACAAACUCAUUCCGAAUCGCAUGAAACCGGAGAAAUUUCAAAUAACACUAUGUUACCUCAACGGGGAUAUGCACAUCCCCAAUAAUAAGAAUAUCAUAUUUCUUCUUGACAGUAGGUAAAGGAAAUUCAAAACCUCCAAAAAUAAUCGAUGGAAUUUUUCCAAUAGAAUUGAUACUGUGGACUUGAGGUUGUUUCCUCGGAAAGUGUACCGUAUGCUCAUUACCAUUAAUAUGAAAAGUGACAUUGCCUUUGUUGCAAUCAAUAACAGCCCCUGCAGUAUUCAAAAAAGGUCUUCCAAGAAUAAUAGACAUACUAUCAUACUCGGGAAUAUCAAGAAUAACAAAGUCCGUUAAAAUAGUAACGUUUGCAACCACAACAGGCACAUCCUCACAAAUACCGACAGGUAUAGCAGUUGAUUUAUCGGCCAUUUGCAAAGAUAUUUCAGUAGGUGUCAACUUAUUCAAAUCAAGUCUAUGAUAUAAAGAGAGAGGCAUAACACUAACACCGGCUCCAAGAUCACAUAAAGCAGUUUUAACAUAGUUUCUUUUAAUGGAGCAUGGUAUAGUUGGUACUCCUGGAUCUCCAAGUUUCUUAGGUAUUCCACCCUUGAAAGUGUAAUUAGCAAGCAUGGUGGAAAUUUCAGCUUCCGGUAUCUUUCUUUUUAGUAACAAUUUCUUUCAUGUACUUAGCAUAAGGAUUCAUUUUGAGCAUAUCAGUCAAACGCAUACGCAAGAAGAUAGGUCUAAUCAUUUCAGUAAAGCGCUCAAAAUCCUCAUCAUCCUUUUUCUUGGAUGGUUUGGGAGGAAAAGGCAUGGGUUUCUGAACCCAUGGCUCCCUUUCUUUACCAUGUUUCCUAGCAACAAAGUCUUUCUUAUCAUAACGUUGAUUCUUUGAUUGUGGGUUAUCAAGAUCAACAGCAGGUUCAAUUUCUACAUCAUUAUUAUUGCUAGGUUGAGCAUCAUCAUGAACAUCAUCAUUAGCAUUAUCACUAGGUUCAUGUUCAUUUCCAGAUUGUGUUUCAGCAUCAGAAAUAGAAAUAUCAUUUGGAUUCUCAGGUGUUUCAGCAAAGGGUUCUCUAGAAGCAUGCAAAGUCCUAUCAUUUUUCUUUUUCUUCUUUUUAGAAGGACUAGGUGCAUCUAUAUUAUUUCUCUGAGAAUCUUGCUCAAUUCUCUUAGGGUGGCCUUCAGGAUACAAAGGUUCCUGAGUCAUUUUACCAGUUCUAGUAGCCACUCUAAUAGCAUAGUCAUUAUUCUUAUUAUUCAAUUCAUUGAUUAAAUCAUUUUGAGCUUUAAGUACUUGUUCUACUUGAGUGGUAACCAUAUAAGCAUGUUUACUAAUGAGUUUAAGUUCACUUUUAACUCUAGACAUAUAAUCACCCAAGUGUUCAAUCAUAUAAGCAUUUUGUUUUAAUUGUCUACCAAAAUAAGCAUUAAAAUCUUCUUGCUUAACCAUAAAGUUAUCAAACUCAUCCAAACAUUGGCUAGCAAACUUAGUAGGAGGGAUUUCAGCUUUAUCAUAUCUAUAGAGAGAAUUUACCUUUACUACCUGUGUCGGGUUAUCAAGACCAUGUGUUUCUUCAAUAGGUGAUGAAUUAAGAUCAUAUGUUUCUUCAACAGGCGGUAAAUUAAGACCAUGUAUUUCUUCAAUAGGAGGUAAAUUCUUAACAUCUACAGCUUUAAUACCCUUUUCUUCAUAGAUUUCUUUGCCUCUUGCAUAUCUUCAGGACUGAGAAAUAGAACACAUCUUUUCUUCGGAGUUGGUUUAGGAAUGGGCUCAGGAGUUGGCUCAGGAAGUAUCCAAUUAUUUUCAUUUGUCAACAUAUUAUUCAAUAGAAUUUCAGCUUCAUCCGGUGUUCUUUCCCUGAAAACAGAACCAACACAACUAUCCAGGUAAUCUCUGGAAGCAUCGGUUAGUCCAUUAUAAAAGAUAUCAAGUAUUUCAUUUUUCUUGAGAGGAUGAUCAGGCAAAGCAUUAAGUAAUUGGAGAAGCCCCCCCAAGCUUGUGGGAGACUCUCUUCUUCAAUUUGCACAAAAUUGUAUAUUUCCCUUAAAGCAGCUUGUUUCUUAUGUGCGGGGAAAUAUUUAGCAGAGAAGUAAUAAAUCAUAUCCUGGGGACUACGCACACAACCAGGAUCAAGAGAAUUAAACCAUAUCUUAGCAUCACCCUUUAAUGAGAACGGAAAUAUUUUAAGGAUAUAAAAGUAGCGAGUUCUCUCAUCAUUAGUGAAUAGGGUGGCUAUAUCAUUUAAUUUAGUAAGAUGUUCCACAACAGUUUCAGAUUCAUAGCCAUAAAAAGGAUCAGAUUCAACCAAAGUAAUUAUAACAGGAUCAACAGAGAAUUCAUAAUCCUUAUCAGUAACACAGAUAGGUGAAGUAGGAAAAGCAGGGUCAGGUUUCAUUCUAGCAUUAAGAGAUUGCUGCUUCCAUUUAGCUAAUAACUUCUUAAGAUCAUAUCUAUCAUUGCAAGCUAAAAUAGCUCUAGCAGCUUCUUCAUCCAUAACAUAACCCUCAGGAACAACAUGUAAUUCAUAUUUAUUAGGGGGGGAGUCUUCAUCAUCACUAUCACCAAUAUUAUCAGUUUCAAUAUUUUCAUUCUCUCUAGCCCUAGCAAGUUGUUCAUCAAGAAAUUCACCAAGUGGCACAGUAGUAUCAAACAUAGAAGUAGUUUCAUCAUAAGUAUCAUGCAUAGCAGAAGUGGCAUCAUCAAUAACAUGCGACAUAUCAGAAUGAAUAGCAGAAGCAGGUUUAGGUGUCGCAAGCUUACUCAAAACAGAAGGUGAAUCAAGUGUAGAGCUAGAUGGCAGUUCCUUAUCUCCCCUCGUAGUUGAGAGAUAGAUUGUUGUUUUUUGCGUCUUUCAAGUUCUUCAUAGUGACCAGUAGAUAUAAAUCCCAAGUGACUCAAAGAAUAGAGCUAUGCUCCCCGGCAACGGUGCCAGAAAAUAGUCUUGAUAACCCACAAGUAUAGGGGAUCGCAACAGUUUUCGAGGGUAGAGUAUUCAACCCAAAUUUAUUGAUUCGACACAAGGGGAGCCAAAGAAUAUUCUCAAGUAUUAGCAGUUGAGUUCUCAAUUCAACCACACCUGGAUAACUUAAUAUCUGUAGCAAAGUAGUAUGGAAGUAACGGUAACGAAAGCAAAAGUAAUAUUUUUGGGUUUUGUAGUGAUUGUAACAGUAGCUACGGAAAAGUAAAUAAGCGGAGAACAAUAUGUGAAAAGCUCGUAGGCAUUGGAUCGGUGAUGGAGAAUUAUGCCGGAUGCGGUUCAUCAUGUAACAGUCAUAACAUAGGGUGACACAGAACUAGCUCCAAUUCAUCAAUAUAAUGUAGGCAUGUAUUCCGAAUAUAGUCAUACGUGCUUAUGGAAAAGAACUUGCAUGACAUAUUUUGUCCUACCCUCCCGUGGCAGCGGGGUCCUAGCGGAAACUAAGGGAUAUUAAGGCAUCCUUUUAAUAGAGUACCGGACCAAAGCAUUAACACAUAGUGAAUACAUGAACUCCUCAAACUACGGUCAUCACCGGGAGUGGUCCCGAUUAUUGUCAUUUCGGGGUUGCCGGAUCAUAACACAUAGUAGGUGACUAUAGACUUGCAAGAUAGGAUCAAGAACUCACAUAUAUUCAUGAAAACAUAAUAGGUUCAGAUCUGAAAUCAUGGCACUCGGGCCCUAGUGACAAGCAUUAAGCAUAGCAAAGUCAUAGCAACAUCAAUCUCAGAACAUAGUGGAUACUAGGGAUCAAACCCUGACAAAACUAACUCGAUCACAUGAUAAAUCUCAUCCAACCCAUCACCGUCCAGCAAGCCUACGAUGGAAUUACUCACGCACGGCGGUGAGCAUCAUGAAAUUGGUGAUGGUGGAUGGUUGAUGAUGACGACGGCGACGGAUUCCCCUCUCCGGAGCCCCGAACGGACUCCAGAGCAGCCCUCCCGAGAGGUUUUAGGGCUUGGCGGCGGCUCCGUAUCGUAAAACGCGAUGAAUCCUUCUCUUUGAUUUUUUUCUCCCCGAACACGAAUAUAUGGAGUUGGAGUUGAGGUCGGUGGAGCAACAGGGGGCCCACGAGGCAAGGGGGCGCGCCCAGGGGGGCAGGCGCGCCCCCACCCUUGUGGACAGGUGGUGGCCCCCUGGCCUUGAUUCUUUCGCCAAUAUUUUUAAUAUUUUCCAAAAAUAAGUUCCGUGGAGUUUCAGGUCAUUCCGAGAACUUUUAUUUCUGCACAUAAAUAACACCAUGGCAAUUCUGCUAAAAACAGCGUUAGUCCGGGUUAGUUCCAUUCAAAUCAUGCAAGUUAGAGUCCAAAACAAGGGCAAAAGUGUUUGGAAAAGUAGAUACGACGGAGACGUAUCAGCCACCCCCAUCAACUGCAGACGUUGUGAACGCCUGGCAGUCGCGUGUUGAUGACUACUCAAUAGUUCAGUGUGCCAUGCUUUACGGCUUACAAUCGGGACUUCAAAGACGUUUUGAACGUCAUGUACCAUAUGAGAUGUUCCAGGAGUUGAAGUUAAUAUUUCAAGCAAAUACCCGAGUUGAGAGAUAUGAAGUCUCCAACAAGUUCUAUAGCUGCAAGAUGGAGGAGAACCGUUCUGUCAGUGAACACAUACUUAGAAUGUCUGGGUAUCAUAACCACUUGGCUCAGCUGGGAGUUAAUCUUCCAGAUGAUAGUGUUAUUGACAGAGUUCUUCAAUCACUGCCACCAAGCUACAAAGGCUUCGUGAUGAACUAUAAUAUGCAAGGGAUGGAUAAGAGAAUUCCCGAACUCUUCGUUAUGCUCAAAGUUGUGGAGGUAGAAAUCAAGAAGGAGCAUCAAGUGUUGAUGGUUAACAAGACCAGUAGUUUCAAGAAAAAGGGCAAAGGAAAGAAGGGGAACUUCAAGAAGAAUGGCAAGCAAGUUGCCACUCCCGGGAAGAAGCCCAACUCUGGACCUAAGCCUGAAACUGAGUGCUUCUACCGCAAAGGGAUUGGUCACUGGAAGCGGAAAUGCCCCAAGUAUUUAGUGGAUAAGAAGGAUGGAAAAGUGAACAAAGGUAUAUUUGAUAUACAUGUUAUUGAUGUGUACCUUACUAAUGCUCGUAGUAGUACCUGGGUAUUUGAUACCGGUUCAGUUGCUCAUAUUUGUAACUUGAAACAAGGGCUACAGAUUAAGCAAAGAUUGGCUAAGGACGAGGUGACGAUGCACAUCGGGAAUGGUUCCAAGGUCGAUGUGAUCGCCGUCGGCAAGCUACCUCUACAUCUACCGUCGGGAUUAGUUUUAGACCUGAAUAAUUGUUAUUUGGUGCCAGCGUUGAGCAUGAAGAUUAUAUUUGGAUCUUGUUUGAUGCGAGACGGUUAUUCAUUUAAAUCGGAGAAUAAUGGUCGUUCUAUUUAUAUGAGUAAUAUCUUUUAUGGUCAUGAACCCUUGAAGAGUGGUCUAUUUUUGUUGAAUCUCGAUCAUGGUGAUACACAUAUUCAUAAUAUUGAUGCCAAAAGAUGCAAAGUUGAUAAUGAUAGUGCAACAUAUUUGUGGCACUGCCGUUUAGGUCAUAUUGGUAUAAAGCGCAUGAAGAUACCCCAUGUGGAUGGACUUCUGGAAUCAGUUGAUUAUGAAUCAUUUGAUGGUUGCGAACCAUGCCUCAUGGGCAAGAUGACUAAGACUCUGUUCUCCGGAACAAUGGAGCGAGUCACUGACUUAUUGGAAAUAAUACAUACCGAUGUAUGCGGUCCGAUGAGUGUUGAGGCUCGCGGCGGGUAUCGUUGUUUUCUAACCUUCACAGAUGAUUUGAGCAGAUAUGGGUAUAUCUACUUAAUGAAACACAAGUCUAAAACAUUUGAAAAGUUCAAAGAAUUUAAGAAUGAAGUGGAGAAUCAUCGUAACAAGAAAAUAAAGUUUCUACGAUCUGAUCCUGGAGGCGAAUAUUUGCGUUACGAGUUUGGCCAUCAUCUCAAACAAUGUGGAAUAGUUUCACAACUCACUCCUCCUGGAACACCACAGCGUAAUGGUGUGUCCGGACGUCGUAACCGUACUUUAUUAUAUAUGGUGCGAUCUAUGAUGUCUCUUACCGAUUUACCACUAUCGUUUCGGGGUUAUGCAUUAGAGACAACUGCAUUCACGUUAAAUAGGGCACCGUCUAAAUCCGUUGAGACAACACCGCAUGAAUUGUGGUUUGGCAAGAAACCUAAGCUGUCGUUUCUUAAAGUUUGGGGUUGCGAUGCUUAUGUGAAAAAGCUUCAGCCUGAUAAGCUCGAACCCAAAUUGGAGAAGUGCAUCUUCAUAGGAUACCCAAAAUAAACUAUUGGGUACACCUUCUAUCACAGAUCUGAAGGCAAGAUCUUUGUUGCUAAGAAUGGAUCCUUUCUAGAGAAGGAGUUUCUCUCGAAAGAAGUGAGUGGGAGGAAAGUAGAACUUGAUGAGGUAAUUGUACCUUUUCUCAAAUUAGAAAGUAGCUCAUCACAGAAAACCGUUCCCGUGAUGCCUACACCAACUAGAGAGGAAGCUAAUGAUAAUGAUCAUGAAACUUCAGAUCAAGUUACUACCGAACGUCGUAGUUCAAACAGAGCACGUUCCGCACCAGGGUGGUACGGUAACCCUGUUCUGGAAGUCAUGUUACUAGACCAUGAUGAACCUACGAACUAUGAGGAAGAGAUGAUGAGCCCAGAUUCCGCAAAAUGGCUUGAGGCCAUGAAAUCUGAGAUAGGAUCCACGUAUGAGAACAAAGUAUGGACUUUGGUUGACUUGCCCGAUGAUCGGCAAGCCAUAGAGAAUAAAUGGAUCUUCAAGAAGAAGACUGACGCCGAUGGUAAUGUUACUGUCUACAAAGCUCAACUUGUCGCGAAAGGUUUUCAACAAGUUCAAGGAGUUGACUAUGAUGAGACUUUCUCACCCGUAGCGAUGCUUAAGUCUGUCCGAAUCAUGUUAGCAAUUGCCGCAUUUUAUGAUUAUGAAAUCUGGCAAAUGGAUGUCAAAACUGCAUUGCUUAAUGGAUUUCUCAAAGAAGAGUUGUAUAUGAUGCAACCAGAAGGUUUUGGCGAUCCUAAAGGUGCUACCAAGUGUGCAAGCUCUAGCGCUCCAUUUAUGGACUGGUGCAAGCAUCUCGGAGUUGGAAUAUACGCUUUGAUGAGGUGAUCAAAGCAUAUGGUUUUAUACAGACUUUUGGAGAAGCUUGUAUUUAUAAGAAAGUGAGUGGGAGCUCUAUAGUAUUUCUAAUGUGAUAUGUGGAUUACAUAUUGUUGAUUGGAAAUGAUAUAGAAUCUCUGGAUAGCAUAAAAGGAUACUUUAAUAAGAGUUUUUCGAUGAAAGACCUCAGUGAAGCUGCUUAUAUAUUGGGCAUCAAGAUCUAUAGAGAUAGAUCAAGACGCUUAAUUGGACUUUCACAAAGCACAUACCUUGAUAAAGUUUUGAAGAAGUUCAAAAUGGAUCAGUUAAAGCAAGGUGUGAAGUUGAGUCACACUCAAUGCCCGACCACUGUAGAAGAUAGAGAGAAAAUGAAAGUCAUUCCCUAUGCCUCAGCCAUAGGUUCUAUCAUGUAUGCAAUAUUGUGUACCAGACCUGAUGUGUGCCUUGCUAUAAGUCUAGCAGGGAGGUACCAAAGUAAUCCAGGAGUGGAUCUUUGGACAGCGGUCAAGAACAUCCUGAUAGACAUGUGUUGUCAUUUGAUGAAUGGGAUCACAUCAUUUGGAGAAUGAUGUGAUGGACAAGACCCAUAGUUAGCUUAGCAUAAUGAUCGUUAAGUUUUAUUGCUAUUGCUUUCUUCAUGUCAUAUACAUAUUCCUUUGACUAUGAGAUUAUGCAACUCCCGGAUAUCGGAGGAAUACCUUGUGUGCUAUCAAACGUCGCAACGUAACUGGGUGAUUAUAAAGAUGCUCUACAGGUAUCUCUGAAGGUGUUUGUUGGGUUGGCAUAGAUCAGGAUUAGGAUUUGUCACUCCGAGUAUCGGAGAGGUAUCUCUGGGCCCUCUCAGUAAUGCACAUCAUAAUAAGCCUUGCAAGCAAUGUGACUAAUGAGUUAGUUGCGGGAUGAUGCAUUAUAGAACGAGUAAAGAGACUUGCUGGUAACGAGAUUGAACUAGGUAUGAAGAUACCGAUGAUCGAAUCUCGGGCAAGUAACAUACCGAUGGCAAAGGGAAUAACGUAUGUUGUCAUUACGGUACGACCGAUAAAGAUCUUCGUGGAAUAUGUGGGAACCAAUAUGAGCAUCUAGGUUCCUCUAUUGGCUAUUGACCGGAGAGGUGUCUCGGUCAUGUCUACAUAGUUCUCGAACCCGUAGGGUCCGCAUGCUUAAUGUUCGAUGAUGAUUUUGUAUUAUAUGAGUUAUGUGAUUUGGUGACCGAAGUUGUUCGGAGUCUCGGAUGAGAUCACGGACAUGAAGAGGAGUCUCGGAUUGGUCGAGAGUUAAAGAUUCGUAUAUAGGACGAUGAUAUUUGGACACGGAAGUGUUCUGGGGGUACCAGGUACAUAUCGGUUCACCGAAAGGGGUUCCGGGCAUCCCCCCGGCAACUACAUGGGCCUAAUGGGCCAAGAAGGGGACAGACCAGCCCCUAGGGGGCUGGUGCGCCCCAUGUAGGCCGAAUAAGGGGGGAAGGAAAGAGGGGAAGACAUAAAGGAAGGGGAGAAAUUUGGCCUCCCCCUUCCUUCUCUCCUCCCUCCUCCUUCCUUCCCCCUCCGGUGAAUAUGGGAGGGGGGAGGCCAAAUUGGGAGGCGCCCAAGUAGGAUUCCUCCUACUUGGGGCACCCCCUUGGCUGCCUCUCCUCCUCUCCAACCUAUACAUAUAUGAGGUGGGGGCACCGCUAGAACACACAACAUUGAUUCCUAGCCGUGUGCGGCGCCCCUCUCCAGAGUUUACGCCUCCGGUCAUAUUCACGCAGUGCUUAGGCGAAGCCCUGCGCGGAUUACUUCACCUUCAUCAUCACCACGCCGUCGUGCUGAUAGAAUUCUCCCUCAACACUUUGAUCGAUCAAGAGUUCGAGGGACGUCAUCGAGCUGAACGUGUGCAGAACUCGGAGGUGUCGUACGUUCGAUGCUUGAUCGGUCGGAACGAGAAGAAGUUCGACUACAUCAACCGCGUUGUCAAACGCUUCUGCUUUUGGUCUACGAGGGUACGUGGACACACUCUCCCCUUCUCGUUGCUAUGCAUCUCCUAGAUAAAUCCUGCGUGAGAGUAGGAUUUUUUUUGAAAUUGCAUGCUACGUUUCCCAACAAUCUGCACAUGAGGAGGUUGUAAACUUAUGCUCCUUUGAUCACCCUGAUCCAUACUGAUUAAUAGAAAGUCUUUCACCCCGCGGAAAAAUUGCUAUGUGUUUAAUGUUGAACAUUUGAGCAGUUUCCCAUAAAUUAAUCCAGAAAUGUGACAGAUAAAUCAUGACUAAAAGAAUAAACAUUACGAUCAAAUGAACAUUAGUAGUACGUGUAGUAGACAGGUAAGUGCAUCUCCAAAGCCGAUCCUCAAACCUCCCACAUAUGUUAGGAUCGCACGGUCUGGACGUGUUGUGCCAUCCAACGCGGUCUUGUAUCGGUCGGCAGGGUGGUCCAGACGCAGUUUCUCCCGGAAACCGGAGACAAAUGUGGGGCUUUGCGGGCACCCGGACAACACCCACGCUCGCUUCUGAACACCCUGGUGAAGGUAAUAUGCCCUAGAGGCAAUAAUAAUCUUUUUAUGUUUCCUUAUAUCAUGAUAAAUGUUUAUUAUUCAUGCUAGAAUUGUAUUAACCGGAAACUUGAUACAUGUGUGGAUACAUAGACAAAUCACCGUGUCCCUAGUAAGCCUCUACUAGACUAGCUCGUUAAUCAAAGAUGGUUAAGUUUCCUAACCAUAGACAUGUGUUGUCACUUGAUGAACAGGAUCACAUCAUUAGGAGAAUGAUGUGAUGGACAAGACCCAUCCGUUAGCUUAGCAUAUUGAUCGUUCAGUUUUAUUGCUAUUGCGUUCUUCAUGUCAUAUACAUAUUCCUUUGACCAUGAGAUUAUGCAACUCCCGAAUACCAGAGGAAUACCUUGUGUGCUAUCAAACGUCACAACGUAACUGGGUGAUUAUAAAGAUGCUGUACAAGUAUCUCCGAAGGUGUUUGUUGGGUUGGCAUAGAUCGAGAUUAGGAUUUGUCACUCUGAGUAUCGAAGAGGUAUCUUUGGGCCCUCUCGGUAAUACACAUCAUAAGAAGCCUUGCGAGAAAAUUGACUAAUGAGUUACUUGCGGGAUGAUGUAUUACAGAACAAGUAAAGAGACUUGCCGGUAACGAGAUUGAACUAUGUAUGAAGAUACCGACGAUCGAAUCUCUGGCAAGUAACAUACUGAUGACAAAGGGAAUAACGUAUGUUGUCAUUACGGUUCGACCAAUAAAGAUCUUCAUAGAAUAUGUAGGAACCAAUAUGAGAAUCCAGGUUCUGCUAUUGGUUAUUGACCGAGAGGUGUCUCGGUCAUGUCUACAUAGUUCUCGAACCCGUAGGGUCCGCACGUUUAAUGUUCGAUGACGAUUUAGUAUUAUAUUAGUUAUGUGAUUUGGUGACCGAUUGUUGUUUGGAGUCCCAGAUGAGAUCAAGGACAUGACGAGGAGUCUCGAAAUGGUCGAUAGGUAAAGAUGGAUAUAUAGGAUGAUAGUAUUCGGACAUCGGGUGUGAUCCGGAUAGUAUCAGGUAUUUAUCGNNNNNNNNNNNNNNNNNNNNNNNNNNNNNNNNNNNNNNNNNNNNNNNNNNNNNNNNNNNNNNNNNNNNNNNNNNNNNNNNNNNNNNNNNNNNNNNNNNNNNNNNNNNNNNNNNNNNNNNNNNNNNNNNNNNNNNNNNNNNNNNNNNNNNNNNNNNNNNNNNNNNNNNNNNNNNNNNNNNNNNNNNNNNNNNNNNNNNNNNNNNNNNNNNNNNNNNNNNNNNNNNNNNNNNNNNNNNNNNNNNNNNNNNNNNNNNNNNNNNNNNNNNNNNNNNNNNNNNNNNNNNNNNNNNNNNNNNNNNNNNNNNNNNGGAGCACACCCGCCCACAAGGGUGCCCCCCCCCUAAAGAAGGAGGCCGAGUGGGGAAAGCAAAAAGAGGGGGUUCGGCCCCCCUUUCCUUCUCCCCUUCCUAUUCCCUUUUCCCUCUCCGGAAAUAUGGAAAGGGGGGGGGGCGAAUUGGGAUAGGACCCCAAGUAGGAUUCCUGCUACUUGGGGCACCCAUAGCUGCUCCCCUCCCCUCCCACCUAUAUAUAUAUAUGGGGAGGGGGCGCCUAGAACACACACCAACAAUCGUUAGCCAUGUGUGGCGCCCCCUCCACAGUUUACGCCUCCGGUCAUAUCUUCGUAGUGCUUAGGUGAAGCCCUGUGCGGAUCACUUCACCAUCACCGUCACCAUGCCGUCGUGCUUAUGGAACUCAUCUUCUUCCUUGAUACCUUUGCUGGAUCAAGAGGACGAGGGACGUCAUCGAGCUGAACGUGUGCAGAACUCAGAGGUGCCAUACGUUCGGUGCUUGAUCGGUCGGAUCUAUAAGAAGUUCGACUACAUCAACCGCGUUGUCAAACGCUUCCUCUUUUUGUCUAUGAGGGUACGUAGACACACUAUCCCCUCUCGUUGCUAUACAUCUCCUAGAUAGAUCUUGCGUGAGCGUAGGAAUAUUUUUUAAAUUUCUUGCUACGUUCCCCAACAGAGGCAUCCGAGCCAGGUCUAUGUGUAGAUGAUAUGCACGAGUAAGAACACAAAGAGUUGUGGGCAGUGAUCGUCAUACUGCAUACCACCAAUGUCUUAUUUUGAUUCAGAGAUAUUGUUGGAUGAGGCGGCCCGGACCAACCUUACAUGACCACGUUAAUGAGACCAGUUCCACCGACAGACAUGCAACUAGUUUUGCAUAAAGGUGGCUGGCGGGUGUCUGUUUCUCCUACUUUAGUUGAAUCGAAUUUGACUGCGGCCGGUCCUUGUUGAAGGUUAAAACAACAAACUUGGUAAAUCACCGUUGUGGUUUUUAUGUGUAGGUAAGAAUGAUUCUCUCUAGAAGCACGUAGCAGCCAUGUAAAACUUGCAACAACAAAGUAGAGGACGUCUAACUUGUUUUUGCAGGGCAUGUUGUGAUGUGAUAUGGUCAAGACAUGAUGUGAUAAACGUUAUUGUAUGAGAUGAUCAUGUUUUGUAAGACAUCUGACAACCGGAAGGAGCCUUAUGGUUGUCUCUCAAUUGUAUGAAAUGCAAACGCCAUGUAAUUGCUUUACUUUAUCACUAUGGGUUAGCGAUAGUUGUAGAAGCAAUAGUUGGCGAGACAACCACGACGCUACGAUGGAGAUCAAGGUGUCGAGCCGGUGACGAUGGAGAUCAUGACGAUGCUUUGGAGAUGGAUAUCAAAAGCACAAAAUGAUGAUGGCCAUAAUAUGUCACAUAUUUUUGAUUGCAUGUGAUGUUUAUCUUUUAUGCAUCUUAUUUUGCUUAGUACGGCGGUAGCAUUAUAAGAUGAUCCCUUAACUAAAAUUUCAAGGUAUAAGUGUUCUCCCCGAGUAUGCAUCGUUGCGACAGUUCGUCGUGUUGAGACACCACGUGAUGAUCGGGUGUGAUGGACUCUACGUUUACAUACAACGGGUGCAAGACAGCUUUGCACAUGCGGAAUACUCGGGUUGAACUUGAUGAGCCUGGCAUGUACAGACAUGGCCUUGGAACACUGGAUACCGAAAGGUCGAACAUGAAUCAUAUAGUAGAUAUGAUCAACAUAGAGAUGUUCACCAUUGAUGCCUACUCCAUCUCACGUGAUGAUCGGACAUGGUUUAGUUGAUUUGGAUCACGUAUCAUUUAGAUGACUUGAGGGAUGUCUAUCUAAGUGGGAAUUCUGAAGUAAUAUGAUUAAUUGAACUUAAUUUAUCAUGAACUUAGUCCUGAUAGUUUUUGCAUAUCUAUGUUGUAGAUCAAUGGCCCGUGCUCCUGUUCCCUUAAAUUUUAAUGCGUUCCUAGAGGAAGCUAAGUUGAAAGAUGAUGGUAGCAACUACACAGAAUGGGUCCGUAACUUGAGGAUGAUCCGCAUUGCUGCACAGAAAAAAUAUGUCCUUGAUGCACCGCUAGGUGUGCCACCCCCUCCAGCAACUGCGGACGUUGUGAAUGCCUGGCAGUUGCGUGUUGAUGACUACUCAAUAGUUCAGUGUGCCAUGCUUUAUGGCUUAGAAUCAGGACUUCAAAGACGUUUUGAACGUCAUGGACCAUAUGAGAUGUUCCAGGAGUUGAAGUUAAUAUUUCAAGCAAAUGCCCAAGUUGAGAGAUAUGAAUUCUCCAACAAGUUCUAUAGCUGCAAGAUGGAGGAGAACAGUUUUGGCAGUGAACACAUACUCAAAAUGUCUGGGUAUCAUAAUCACUUGCCUCAGCUGGGAGUUAAUCUUCCAGAUGAUAGUGUUAUUGACAGAGUUCUUGAAUCACUGCCACCAAGCUACAAAGGCUUCGUGAUGAACUAUAAUAUGCAAGGGAUGGAUAAGACAAUUCCUGAGCUCUUCGCAAUGCUCAAAGCUGCGGAGGUAGAAAUCAAGAAGGAGCAUCAAGUGUUGAUGGUUAACAAGACCACUAGUUUCAAGAAAAAGGUCAAGGGAAAGAAGGGGAACUUCAAGAAGAAUGGCAAGCAAGUUGCCACUCCCGGGAAGAAGCCCAAAUCUGGACCCAAGCCUGAAACUGAGUGCUUCUACUGCAAAGGGACUGGUCACUGAAAGCGGAACUGCCCCAAGUCUUUGGCGGAUAAGGAUGGGAAAGUGAACAAAGUUAUAUUUGAUAUACAUGUUAUUGAUGUGUACCUUACUAAUGCUCGUAGUAGCGCCUUGGUAUUUGAUACUGGUUUAGUUGCUCAUAUUUGUAACUCAAAACCUAUGGACUAAAUGAAGAUUGGCUAAGGACGAGGUGACGAUGCGCGUCGGGAAUGGUUCCAAGGUCGAUGUGAUCGUUGUCGGCACGCUACCUCUACAUCUACCUUCAGGAUUAGUUUUAGACCUGAAUAAUUGUUAUUUGGUGCCAGCAUUGAUCAUGAACAUUAUAUCUGGAUCUUGUUUAAUGCAGGUCGGUUAUUCAUUUAAAUCAGAGAAUAAUGGUUGUUCAAUUUAUAUGAGUAAUUUCUUUUAUGGUCAUGCACCCUUGAAGAGUGGUCUUUUUUUGGUGAAUCUCAAUUGUGGUGAUACACAUACUCAUAACAUUGAUGCCAAAAGAUGCAAAGUUGAUAGUGAUAGUGCAACAUAUUUGUGGCACUGCCGUUUAGGUCAUAUUGGUGUAAAACGCAUGAAGAAACUCCGUGCAGAUGGGCUUUUGGAAUCUCUUGAUUAUGAAUCAUUUGAUACUUGCGAACCAUGCCUCAUGGGCAAGAUGACUAAAACUCCGUUCUUCGGAACAAUGGUGCGAGCUAAUAACUUAUUGGAAAUAAUACAUACUGAUGUAUGCGGUCCGAUGAGUGUUGAAGCUCGUGGCAGGUAUCGUUAUUUUCUGACCUUCACAGAUGAUUUAAGCAGAUAUGGGUAUAUCUACUUGAUGAAACACAAGUCUGAAACAUUUGAAAAGUUCAAAGAACUUCAGAGUGAAGUAGAGAAUCAUCGUAACAAGAAAAUAAAGUUUCUACGAUCUGAUCGCGGAGGCGAGUAUUUGAGAUACGAGUUUGGCCUUCAUUUAAAACAAUGUGGAAUAGAUUUACAACUCACGCCACCUAGAACACCAUAACGUAAUGGUGUGUCCGAACAUCGUAACCGUACUUUAUUAGAUAUGGUGCGAUCUAUGAUGUCUCUUACCGAUUUACCACUAUCGUUUUGGGGUUAUGCAUUUGAGACAGCUACAUUCACCUUAAAUAGGGCACCGUCUAAAUCCGUUGAGACAACACUGUAUGAACUGUGGUUUUGCAAGAAACCUAAGCCGUCGUUUCUUAAAUUUGGGGUUGCGACACUUAUGUCAAAAGGCUUCAGCCUGAUAAGCUCGAACCCAAAUGGGAGAAGUGCGUCUUCAUAGGAUACCCUAAGGAAACAAUUGGGUACACCUUCUACCACAAAUCCGAAGGCAAGAUAUUUGUUGCCAAGAGUGGAAACUUUCUAAAGAAGGAGUUUCUCUCGAAAGAAGUGAGUGGGAGGAAAGUAGAACUUGAUGAGGUAAUUGUACCUUCUCUCGAAUUGGAAGGUAGCUCAUCACAGAAAACCAUUCCCAUGAUGCCUACACAAAAUAGAGAGGAAGCUAAUGAUAAUGAUCAUGAAACUUCAGAUCAAGUUACUACUGAACCUCGUAGGUCAACCAGAGCACGAUCCGCACCAGAGUGGUAUGGUAAUCCUAUUCUGGAAGUCAUGUUACUAGACCAUAACGAACCUACAAACUAUGAAGAAGCUAUGAUGAGCCCAGAUUACGAUAUAUGGCUUGAGGCCAUGAAAUCUGAGAUAGGAUCCAUGUAUGAGAACAAAGUGUGGACUUUGGUUGACUUGCCCGAUGAUUGGCGAGCCAUAGAGAAUGAAAGGAUCUUAAGGAAGAAGACUGACGCUGAUGGUAAUGUUACUGUCUACAAAGCUCGACUUGUCGCAAAAGGUUUUUGACAAGUUCAAGGAGUUGACUACGAUGAGACUUUAUCACCCGUAGCGAUGCUUAAGUCUGUCUGAAUCAUGUUAGCAAUUGUUGCAUUUUAUGAUUAUGAAAUCUGGCAAAUGGACGUCAAAACUGCAUUCCUUAAUGGAUUUCUGAAGGAAGAGUUGUAUACAUUGCAACCAGAAGGUUUUGUCGAUCCUAAAGGUGCUAACAAAGUGUGCAAGCUCCAGCGAUCCAUCUAUGGACUGGUGCAAGCAUCUCGGAGUUGGAAUAUAUGAUUUGAUGAGGUGAUCAAAGCAUAUGGUUUUAUACAGACUUUCAGAGAAGCCUGUAUUUACAAUAAAGUGAGUGGGAGCUCUGUAGCAUUUCGAAUAUUAUAUGUGGAUUACAUAUUGUUAAUUGGAAAUGAUAUAGAAUUUCUGGAUAGCAUAAAAGGAUACUUGAAUUAAGUUUUUCAAUGAAAGACCUCGGUGAAGCUGCUUAUAUAUUGGGCAUCAAGAUCUAUAGAGAUAGAUCAAGAUGCUUAAUAGGACUUUCACAAAGCACGUGCCUUGAUAAAGUUUUGAAGAAGUUCAAAAUGGAUCAGUCAAAGCAAGGUUUCUUGCCUUUGUUACAAGGUGUGAAAUUGAGUCAUACUCAAUGCACGACCACUGUAGAAGAUUGAGAGAAAAUGAAAGUCAUUUCCUAUGCCUCAGCCAUAGGUUCUAUCAUGUAUGCUAUGCUGUGUACCAGACCUGAUGUAUGCCUUACUAUAAGUCUAGAAGGGAGGUACCAAAGUAAUCCAGGAGUGGAUCACUGGACAGCGGCCAAGAACAUACUGAAGUACCUGAAAAGGACUAAGGAUAUGUUUCUCGUUUAUGCAGGUGACAAAGAGCUCGUCGUAAAUGGUUACGUCAAUGCUAGCCUUGACACUGAUCCGGAUGACUCUAUGUCACAAACCGGAUAUGUAUUUAUAUUGAAUGGUGGAGCUAUCGGUUGGUGCAGUUCCAAGUAGACCGUCGUGGCGGGAUCUAAGUGUGAAGCGGAGUACAUAGCUGCUUCGGAAGCAGCUAAUGAAGGAAUCUGGAUGAAGGAGUUCAUAUCCGAUCUAGGUGUAAUACCUAGUGCAUCGGGUCCAAUGAAAAUCUUUUGUGACAAUACUGGAGCAAUUGCCUGAGCAAAGGAAUCCAGGUUUCCCAACAGAACCAAACACAACAAGAGACACUUCAACUCCAUCCAUGAUCAAGUCAAGGAGGUAGACAUAGAGAUUUGGAAAAUACAUAUGGAUCUGAAUGUGGCAGACCCGUUGACUAAGCCUCUUCCACGAGCAAAACAUGAUUAGUACCAGGACUCCAUGGGUGUUAGAAUCAUUACAAUGUAAUCUAGAUUAUUGACUCUAGUGCAAGUGGGAGACUGAAGGAAAUAUGCCCUAGAGGCAAUAAUAAAGUUGUUAUUUUAUAUUUGCUUAUAUCAUGAUAAAUGUUUAUUAUUCAUGCUAGAAUUGUAUUAACCGGAAACUUGAUACAUGUGUGGACACAUAGACAAAACACCGUGUCCCUAGUAAGCCUCUACUAGACUAGCUCGUUAAUCAAAGAUGGUUAAGUUUCCUGACCAUAAACAUGUGUUGUCAUUUGAUGAAUGGGAUCACAUCAUUAGGAGAAUGAUGUGAUGGACAAGACCCAUCCGUUAGCUUAGCAUAUUGAUCGUUCAGUUUUAUUACUAUUGCUUUCUUCAUGUCAUAUACAUAUUCCUCUGACUAUGAGAUUAUGCAACUCUCGAAUACUGGCGGAAUACCUUGUGUGCUAUCAAAUGUCACAACGUAACUGGGUGAUUAUAAAGAUGCUCUACAGGUAUCUUCGAAGGUGUUUGUUGGGUUGGCAUAGAAUGAGAUUAGGAUUUGUCACUCCGAGUAUCGGAGAGGUAUCUCUGGGCCCUCUUGGUAAUACACAUCAUAAGAAGCCUUGCAAGCAAAGUGACUAAUGAGUUAGUUGUGGGAUGAUGUAUGACAGAACGAGUAAAGAGACUUUCCGAUAACGAGAUUGAACUAGGUAUGAAGAUACCGACGAUCGAAUCUCGGGCAAGUAACAUACCGAUGACAAAGGGAACAACGUAUGUUGUCAUUACUAUUCAACCGAUAAAGAUCUUCGUAGACUAUGUAGGAACCAAUAUGAGAAUCUAGGUUCCCCUGUUGAUUAUUGACUGGAGAGGUGUCUCGGUCAUGUCUGCAUAGUUCUCGAACCCGUAGGGUCCGCACGCUUAACGUUCGAUGACGAUUUAGUAUUAUACGAGUUAUGUGAUUUGGUGACCAAAUGUUGUUCGGAGUCCUGGAUGAUAUCACAAACAUGACGAGGAGUCUCGAAAUGGUUGAGAGGUAAAGAUUCAUAUAUAGGAUGAUAGUAUUCGGACACCGGAUGUGAUCCGGAUAGUAUCGGGUAUUUAUCGGAGUACGUGGGGGGAGGGGGGUACCGGAACCCCCGGGGGAAAGGGCCACAUGGGCCAUAGGAGGGGAGCACACCCGCCCACAAGGGUGGCGCACCCCAAGGAAGGAGGCCUAGUGGGGAAAGGAAAAAGAGGGGGUUCGACCCCCCUUUCCUUCUCCCCUUCCUCUUCCCUUUUCCCUCUCCGGAAAUACGGAAAAGGUGUGUGGGGGGGGGCAAAUUGGGAUAGGACCCCAAGUAGGAUUCCUCCUACUUGGGGCGCCCCAUAGCUGCUCCCCUUCCCCUCCCACCUGUAUAUACGUGGGGAGGGGCAGCCUAGAACACACACCAACAAUCGUUAGCCGUGUGCGGCGUCCCCGUCCACAGUUUACGCCUCCGGUCAUAUCUUCGUAGUGCUUAGGUGAAGCCCCACGCAGAUCACUUCACCAUCACCGUCACCACGCCGUCGUGCUGACGGAACUCAUCUUAUCCCUUGAUACCUUUGCUGGAUCAAGAGGACGAGGGACGUCAUCGAGUUGAACGUGUGCAAAAGUCGGAGGUGCCGUAUGUUCGGUGCUUGAUCGGUCGAAUCUAGAAGAAGUUCGGCUACAUCAACUGCGUUUUCAAACGCUUACGCUUUCGGUCUACAAGGGUAUGUAGACACACUCUCCCCCUCUCGUUGCUAUACAUAUCCUAGAUAGAUCUUGCGUGAGCAUAGGAAUUUUUUUGAAAUUGCUUGCUACAUUCCCCAACACCUGGCCCACCCAAAACACUCCUCCCUUGCCAGCACGCGUUCCUGCCCAGAGCCAGCUGUCUGCAUUCAUGCAACUAUAGAGUGGCUGCUCCACAUUGAAGCCAACCCAGAGCGGACGCGACAUCUCACUGGCUCCGCCAUUGAAGCGGCGUGCCGGCUGAGGGCGCCGCCCGCUGCACGCCUAGUUGAACACACGUCCUGACAUCAUUCAAAUGUUCCAUUAAACCCGCGCGUGUACCGAGAAAUCAACUCCAGCCACAUGUUCAUUCACGAGCGGGUCGGUAUUAACCACAACGCCGGGGAAGCUCCUCCCGUCGGGCAGCUAUUUAAAGGAGUCCAGACGCCGGGCAAGAAUUGCACCACUCCCCAUCUCCUCCUUCCACCAUUUUCUCCACCCUUUGGAUGGCAUACGACGAGCAAGAAGAGCAGUUAUCCGGCAUAAAAGUCGGCUGGGUGCCUGUGACGCCCCCGAUUGAAUCGUGCACUAGUCAUACAUGCAAAUGUGCACGAUCAAGAUCAGAGACUCAUGGGAAGAUACCACAACACAACUCUAGACACAAAUUAAAGUCAUACAAGCUUCAUAUUACAAGCCAGGGGUCUCGAGGGCUCGAAUACAUAUGCUCGAAUACAAAUGAGUCAGCGGAAGCAACAAUAUCUGAGUACAAACAUAAGGUAAACAAGUCUGCCUUAAGAAGGCAAGCACAAACAGCAACAUGGAUGGAAAAAAGGCAAGGCCUCCUGCCUGGGAGCCUCCUAACUGCUCCUGGUCGUGGGCGGUCUCCACGUAGUAGUAGGCACUGUCAGGGUAGUAGUAGGUGUCGGGGGUGGCAUCAGGCUCCUGGGAUCCGUCAUCUGAUCACAUCAAUCGGGUAUAGGGGAAAAGAAGUAGCAAAGCAACCACGAGUACUCAUCCAAAGUACCCGCAAGACUUACAUCAGAACUAUAGUAAGUAUGCAUUGGUAUCAAAGGAAUGGGGCUAUAUCUUUGCACUGAACUGUAGAAAUGCCAGAAGAGAAGGGAAAGCCUAGCCUAUUGAAGACUAGCAUCUUGCAGCGUUAGAAGAGUGCAGAUUUGCAUAAUAUAAAGUAUUAGUAAGUUGUAGCAACACCCAGAGAUCCUUCCUCGACUCCCUGCGAGAAGGAACUCCCGGAGCCAUCAUAUCCAUUUCACAUCUCCAAUAUCCAGUUCUAGUUGUAUCGACCGGGAUACAACUCCGAGCGUCCGUUACCAUGGACACGGCUAUUCGAAUAGAUUAAGUUCCCCGCAGGGGUGUACAAACUUACCCAAAACUCUUGAUUAACUCUGGCCGAACACACUUUCCUGGGUCAUGCAUGCCCGCCCUCGGAUGAUCGACACGCCGUAGUCCUACCUAGGUUCAACAGAGGGGCCAACACGCCGGUCUACAUCCUAAGCCCUUUGCACUCCUGCAUGUUGCGUACGCGACCAGGAGCAGAACCACCCCCUUAAUACAAGCGCUGGUGGUUCCCGUCCAACCGGGCACGCGCCGGUUUCGGAGAACCGUAUGAGCAGAGUGCCCAUACUUAUUCCCGCAUGGUGGUCAGUGCGAAAAGGCCAGGGGCCUACUCGGAUCACAUAUCCAAAUCGUUAGUGUCUUGGGAGCACGCGGAGACUGAUACGUCUCCAAUGUAUCUAUAAUUUUUUAUUAUUCCAUGCUAUUAUAUUAUCCGUCUUGGAUGUUUUAUAUGCAUUAAUAUGUCGUUUUAUAUCAUUUUUGGGGACUAACCUAUUAACCUAGUGCCCAAUGCCAGUAGCCGUUUUUUCCUUGUUUUUGUCUUCUACAGAAAAUCAAUACCAAAUGGAGUCCAAAUGGAACAAAACUUUUUGAGGAUUUUUCUUGGACCAAAAGACAACCAUGAAGCUUCAUGAGGAGGCCAGAGGGGCCACGAGAGAGCCACAAGCUCACAGGGCGUGCCCCAGGGGGGCGCCCCCAGGCUUGUGGGACCCUGGGGACCCCUAACCCUAAGUCCAGCUCCAUAAAUACCCAAAUAUUCCCCGUAUACCAGAGGGCACAAAAAAAAUACUUUUUCACCGCCACAAGCUUCUGUUCUCGUGAGAUCCCAUCUUGGGCCUUUUCUAGCACUCUGCCGGAGGGGGAUUUGAUCACGGAGGGCCUCUACACCAACCUUGCUGCCCUUCCGAUGAUGUAUGAGUAGUUUACCACAGACCUACGGGUCCAUAGCUAGUACCUAGAUGGCUUCUUCUCUCUCUUUGAUCUUCAAUACAAUGUUCUCCUCGAUGUUUGAUACGUCUCCAACGUAUCUAUAAUUUUUGAUUGUUCCAUGCUAUUAUAUAAUCUCUUUUGGAUGUUUAUGGGCUUUAUUAAACACUUUUAUAUUAUUUUUAGGACUAACCUAUUAACCCAGAGCCCAGUGCCAGUUUAUGUUUUCCCCUUGUUUCAGUGUUUCGCAGAAAAGGAAUAUCAAAAGGAGUCCAAACGGAAUGAAACCUUCGGGAGAGUUAUUUUUGGAACGGAAGCAAUCCACGGGACUUGGAGUGCACGUCAGGAAAGCAACGAGGGAGGCACGAGGCAGGGGGUGCGCCCUCCACCCUCGUGGGCCCCUCGUGGCUCCCCUGACGUAUUUCUUCCUCCUAUAUAUACCGAUAUACCCUAAAACCAUCGGGGAACAGAAUAGAUCGGGAGUUUCGCCGCCGCAAGCCUCUGUAGCCACCAAAAACCAAUCGAGACCCUGUUCCGGCACCCUGCCGGAGGGGUAAUCCCUCACCGGUGGUCUAUCUUCAUCAUCCCGACGCUCUCCAUGACGAGAAGGGAGUAGUUCACCCUCAGGGCUGAGGGUAUGUACCAGUAGCUAUGUGUUUGAUCUCUCUCUCUCUCGUGUUCUUGAGGUGAUACAAUCUUGAUGUAUCGCGAGCUUUGCUAUUGUAGUUGGAGCUUAUGAUGUUUCUCCCCCUCUACUCUCUUGUAAUGGAUUGAGUUUUCCCUUUGAAGUUAUCUUAUCGGAUUGAGUCUUUAAUGAUUUGAGAACACUUGAUGUAUGUUUUGCGUGGGAUAACCGUGGUGACAAUGGGUUAUUCUAUUGAUUCACUUGAUGUAUGUUUUGGUGAUCAACUUGCGGGUUCCGCCCAUGAACCUAUGCAUAGGGGUUGGCACACGUUUUCGUCUUGAUUCUCCGGUAGAAACUUUGGGGCACUCUUUGAUGUUCUAUGUGUUGGUUGAAUAGAUGAAUCUGAGAUUGUGUGAUGCAUAUCGUAUAAUCAUACCCACGGAUACUUGAGGUGACAUUGGAGUAUCUAGGUGACAUUAGGGUUUUGGUUGAUGUGUGUCUUAAGGUGUUAUUUUACUAUGAACUCUAGGGCUGUUUGUGACACUUAUAGGAAUAGCCCAAUGGAUUGAUCGGAAAGAAUAACUUUGAGGUGGUUUCGUACCCUACCAUAAUCUCUUCGUUUGUUCUCCGCUAUUAGUGACUUUGGAGUGACUCUUUGUUGCAUGUUGAGGGGUAGUUAUAUGAUCCAAUUAUGUUAUUAUUGUUGAGGAACUUGCGCUAGUGAAAGUAUGAACCCUAGGCCUUGUUUCCUAGCUUUGCAAUACCGUUUGUGUUCACUUUUAUCAUUAGUUACCUUGCUGUUUUUAUAUUUUCAGAUUACAAAUACCUAUAUCUACCAUCCAUGUUGCACUUGUAUCACCAUCUCUUCGCCGAACUAGUGCACCUAUACAAUUUACCAUUGUAUUGGGUGUGUUGGGGACACAAGAGACUCUUUGUUAUUUGGUUGCAGGGUUGUUUGAGAGAGACCAUCUUCAUCCUACGCCUCCCACAGAUUGAUAAACCUUAGGUCAUCCACUUGAGGGAAAUUUGCUACUGUCCUAUAAACAUCUGCACUUGGAGGCCCAACAACGUCUACAAGAAGAAGGUUGUGUAGUAGACAUGAAGCAGUUUCUGGCGCCGUUGCCGGGGAGGUGAGUGCUUGAAGGUAUAUCUUUAGAUCUUGCAAUCGAAUCUUUUUGUUUCUUGUUUUAUCACUAGUUUAGUCUAUAAAAGAAAAUUACAAAAAAUGGAAUUGAGGGUACCUCAUAUGCUUCAUCUUUUUAAUAUCUUUCAUGAAAAAUAAGGAUUCCGAUAAUUGUGCUCAAUUGCUAGAGGAAUAAUUCAUUAGAAUGUUUGGCACUAAAUCUUUGAAUGAUGAGCAUGAUUGCAAUGUUGUUAGUAUGAAUUCUUUGAAUACCCAUGAUGCUAAUGAUAUGCAAAGCCACAAGCUUGGGGAUGCUAUGUUUGAUGAAGAUGAUAUGUUUAGUCCCCCAAGUUUUGAUGAGCAAAUUUAUCAUGAUGAAAGCAUGCCUCCUAUCUAUGAUGAUUAUUGUGAUGACACUUAUGCUAUAAAGAAUAAUGAUAACCAUGAAACUUGUCAUCUUGAUCUUAAUUUUCAAUCACAUGAUAGUUAUUUUGUUGAGUUUGCUCCCACUACUAUUGAUGAGAAGAAUUUUGCUUAUGUGGAGAGUAGUAAAAAUUCUAUACUUGUAGAUCAUGAAAAGAAUGCUUUAGGUGCUGGUUAUAUUGUUGAAUUCAUUCAUGAUGCUACUGAAAAUUAUUAUGAGGGAGGAAUAUAUGCUUGUAGGAAUUGCAAUAAUAUCAAGUUUCCUCUCUAUGUGCUUAAAGUUUUGAAGUUAUGCUUGUUUUGCCUUCCUAUGCUAGUUGAUUAUUGUUCCCAUAAGUUGUUUGAUCACAAAAUCCCUAUGCAUAGGAAGUGGGUUAGACUUAAAUGUUCUAGUCAUAUUCUUCAUGAUGCUCUCUUUAUGUUUCAAUUCUUAUCUUAUAUGUGAGCAUCAUUGAAAUCACCAUGCCUAGUUAGGGGCGUUAAACGUUAGCGCUUGUUGGGAGGCAACCCAAUUUUAUUUUAGUUUCUUGCUUUUUGGUUCUGUUUAGUAAUAAAUAAUCCAUCUAGCUUCUGUUUAGAUGUGGUUUUGUGUUUUAAUUAGUGUUUGUGCCAAGUUAAACCUAUAGGAUCCUCUUGGAUGAUAGUUAUUUGAUCUUGCUGAAAAUUCCAGAAACUUUCUGUUCACGAAAAUAAUUGUUAAAAAUCACCAGAACGUGAUAAAAUAUUGAUUCCAAUUGCUGCUGAUCAAUAAACAAAUUGUCUAGGUCUUCCUAUUUUGGCUGAAGUUUUUGUGUUCCAGAAGUUUGCGUUAGUUACAGAGUACUACAGACUGUUCUGUUUUUGACAGAUUCUGUUUUUUCGUGUGUUGUUUGCUUAUUUUGAUGAAUCUAUGGCUAGUAAAAUAGUUUAUAAACCAUAGAGAAGUUGGAAUACAAUAGAUUUAACACCAAUACAAAUAAAUAAUGAGUUCAUUACAAUACCUUUAAGUGGUGGUUUGUUUUCUUUCGCUAACGGUGCUCACGAGUUUUCUGUUGAGUUUUGUGUUGUGAAGUUUUCAAGUUUUGGGUGAAGAUUCGAUGGACUAUGGAAUAAGGAGUGGCAAGAGCCUAAGCUUGGGGAUGCCCAAGGCACCCCAAGGUAAUAUUCAAGGACAACCAAAAGCCUAAGCUUGUGGAUGCCCCGGAUGGCAUCCCCUCUUUCGUCUUCGGUCAUCGGUAACUUGACUUGGAGCUAUAUUUUUAUUCACCACAUGAUAUGUGUUUUGCUUAGAGCGUCAUUUUAUUUUCUUUUGUUUUGCUUGCUGUAUGAAUAAAAUACCAAGAUCUGAAAUUCUUAAAUGUUAGAGAGUCUUCACAUAGUUACAUAAUUAUACAACUACUCAUUGAUCUUCACUCAUACCUUUUGGAGUAGUUUGUUGUUUGCUCUAGUGCUUCACUUAUAUCUUUUAGAGCACGGUGGUAACUUUUGUUUUAUAGAAACUAUUAUUCUCUCAUGCUUCACUUAGAUUAUUUUGAGAGUCUUAAAUAGCAUGGUAAUUUGCUUAAAAUAAUCCUAAUAUGCUAGGUCUUCAAUACUAGUAAAAACUUUCUUAUGAGUGUGUUGAAUACUAAGAGAAGUUUGAUGCUUGAUGAUUGUUUUGAGAUAUGGAGGUAGUGAUAUUAAAGUUGUGCUAGUUGAGUAGUUGUGAAAUUGAGAAAUACUUGUGUUGAAGUUUGCAAGUCCCGUAGCAUGCACGUAUGGUAAACGUUAUGUAACAAAUUUGAAACAUGAGGUGUUCUUUGAUUGUCAUCCUCAUGAGUGGCGGUCGGGGACGAGCGAUGGUCUUUUCCUACCAAUCUACCCCCCUAGGAGCAUGCGCGUAGUGCUUGGUUUUUGAUGACUUGUAGAUUUUGCCAAUAAGUAUGUGAGUUCUUUAUGACUAAUGUUGAGUCCAUGGAUUAUACGCACUCUCAACCUUCCAUCAUUGCUAGCCUCUUCGGUACCGUGCAUUGCGCUUUCUCACCUUGAGAGUUGGUGCAAACUUCGCCGGUGCAUCCAAACCCCGUGAUACGAUACGCUCUAUCACACAUAAACCUCCCUAUAUCUUCCUCAAAACAGCCACCAUACCUACCUAUUAUGGCAUUUCCAUAGCCAUUCCGAGAUAUAUUGCCAUGCAACUUUCCACCGUUCCGUUUAUCAUGACACUUCAUCAUUGUCAUAUUGCUUUGCAUGAUCAUGUAGUUGACAUAGUAUUUGUGGCAAAGCCACCAUUCGUAAUUCUUUCAUACAUGUCACUCUUGGUUCAUUGCAUAUCCCGGUACACCGCCGGAGGCAUUCAUAUAGAGUCAUACUUUGUUCUAGUAUCGAGUUGUAAUCAUUAAGUUGUAAAUAAAUAGAAGUGUGAUGAUCAUCAUUUUCUAGAGCAUUGUCCCAAGUGAGGAAUAUAAAAAAAAGAGAGAGGCCAUAAAAAAAGAAGAAGGCCCAAAAAAAAGAGAGAAAAAGAGAGAAGGACAAUGCUACUAUCCUUUUUUCCACACUUGUGCUUCAAAGUAGCACCAUGAUCUUCAUGAUAGAGAGUCUCUUGUUUUGUCACUUUCAUAUACUAGUGGGAAUUUUUCAUUAUAGAACUUGGCUUGUAUAUUCCAACAAUGGGCCUCCUCAAGUGCCCUAGGUCUUCGUGAGCAAGCAAGUUGGAUGCACACCCACUUAGUUUCUUUUGUUGAGCUUUCAUAUAUUUAUAGCUCUAGUGCAUCCGUUGCAUGGCAAUCCCUACUCCUUGCAUUAACAUGAAUCGAUGGUCAUCUCCAUAGCUCAUUGAUUAGCCUCGUUGAUGUGAGACUUUCUCCUUUUUUGUCUUCUCCACAUAACCCCCAUCAUUAUAUUCUAUUCCACCCAUAGUGCUAUAUCCAUGGCUCACGCUCAUGUAUUGCGUGAAGGUUGAAAUUUUUUGAGAUUACUAAAGUAUGAAACAAUUGCUUGGCUUGUCAUUGGGGUUGUGCAUGAUGAGAGCAUUCUUGUGUGACGAAAAUGGAGCAUGACCAAACUAUAUAAUUUUGUAGGGAUGAACUUUCUUUGGCCAUGUUAUUUUGAGAAGACAUAAUUGCUUAGUUAGUAUGCUUGAAGUAUUAUUACUUUUAUGUCAAUAUUAAACUUUUAUCUUGAAUCUUUCGGAUCUGAAUAUUCAUACCACAAUUAAGAGGGUUACAUUAAUUUUUUUGCCAACUAGCAUUCCACAUCAAAAAUUCUGUUUUUAUCAUUUACCUACUCGAGGACGAGCAGGAAUUAAGCUUGGGGAUGCUGAUACGUCUCCAACGUAUCCAUAAUUUUUGAUUGUUCCAUGCUAUUAUAUUAUCUGUUUUGGAUGUUUAUGGGCUUUAUUAAACACUUUUAUAUUAUUUUUGGGACUAACCUAUUAACCCAGAGCCCAGUGCCAGUUUCUGUUUUUCCCUUGUUUCAGUGUUUCGCAGAAAAGGAAUAUCAAACGGAGUCCAAACGGAAUGAAACCUUCGGGAGAGUUAUUUUUGGAACGGAAGCAAUCCAGGGGACUUGGAGUGCACGUCAGGAAAGCAACGAGGGAGGCACGAGGCAGGGGGGCGCGCCCUCCACCCUCGUGGGCCCCUCAUGGCUCCCCUGACGUAUUUCUUCAUCCUAUAUAUACCGAUAUACCCUAAAACCAUCGGGGAACAGAAUAGAUCGGGAGUUCCGCCGCCGCAAGCCUCUGUAGCCAUCAAAAACCAAUCGGGACCCUGUUCCGGCACCCUGCCGGAGGGGGGAUCCCUCAUCGGUGGUCAUCUUCAUCAUCCCGACGCUCUCCAUGACGAGGAGGGAGUAGUUCACCCUCGGGGCUGAGGGUAUGUACCAGUAGCUAUGUGUUUGAUCUCUCUCUCUCUCUCUCUCGUGUUCUUGAGGUGAUACGAUCUUGAUGUAUCGCGAGCUUUGCUAUUGUAGUUGGAUCUUAUGAUGUUUCUCCCCCUCUACUCUCUUGUAAUGGAUUGAGUUUUCCCUUUGAAGUUAUCUUAUCGGAUUGAGUCUUUAAUGAUUUGAGAACACUUGAUGCAUGUCUUGCGUGGGAUAACCGUGGUGACAAUGGGUUAUUCUAUUGAUUCACUUGAUGUAUGUUUUGGUGAUCAACUUGCGGGUUCUGCCCAUGAACCUAUGCAUAGGGGUUGGCACACGUUUUCGUCUUGAUUCUCCAGUAGAAACUUUGGGGCACUUUUUGAGGUUCUAUGUGUUGGUUGAAUAGAUGAAUCUGAGAUUGUGUGAUGCAUAUCGUAUAAUCAUACCCACGGAUACUUGAGGUGACAUUGGAGUAUCUAGGUGACAUUAGGGUUUUGGCUUAUGUGUGUCUUAAGGUGUUAUUUUACUAGGAACUCUAGGGCUGUUUGUGACACUUAUAGGAAUAGCCUAAUGGAUUGAUCGGAAAGAAUAACUUUGAGGUGGUUUCGUACCCUACCAUAAUCUCUUCGUUUGUUCUCCGCUAUUAGUGACUUUGGAGUGACUCUUUGUUGCAUGUUGAGGGAUAGUUAUAUGAUCCAAUUAUGUUAUUAUUCUUGAGAGAACUUGCGCUAGUGGAAGUAUGAACCCUAGGCCUUGUUUCCUAGCAUUGCAAUACCGUUUGUGUUCACUUUUAUCAUUAGUUACCUUGCUGUUUUUAUAUUUUCAGAUUACAAAUACCUAUACCUACCAUCCAUAUUGCACUUGUAUCACCAUCUCUUCGCCGAACUAGUGCACCUAUACAAUUUACCAUUGUAUUGGGUGUGUUGGGGACACAAGAGACUCUUUGUUAUUUGGUUGCAGGGUUGUUUGAGAGAGACCAUCUUCAUCCUACGCCUCCCACGGAUUGAUAAACCUUAGGUCAUCCACUUGAGGGAAAUUUGCUACUGUCCUACAAACCUCUGCACUUGGAGGCCCAAAAACGUGUGCAAGAAGAAGGUUGUGUAGUAGACAUCAAUGUUCUUCGAGAUCUAUUUGAUGUAAUCUUCUUUUGCAGUGUGUUUGUUGAGAUCCGAUGAAUUGUGGGUUUAUGAUCAGAUUAUCAAUGAAUAUUAUUUGAGUCUUCUCUGAACUCUUUUAUGCAUGAUUAAGAUAACUUUGUAUUUCUCUCUGAUCUAUUGAUUUGGUUUGGCCAACUAGAUUGAUCUUUCUUGCAAUGGGAGAGGUGCUUUGUGAUGGGUUCAAUCUUGCGGUGUCCUCACCCAGUGACAGUAGGGUAGCGAGGCACGUAUUUGUAUUGUUUCCAUAAGGAUAAAAGAUGGGUUUUUACCAUAUUGAUUGGAUCUAUCCCUCUACAUCAUGUCAUAUUGCUUAAGGCGUUACUCCGUUCUCGUUAACUUAAUACACUAGAUGAAUGCUGGAUAGCGGUUGAUGUGUGGAGUAAUAGUAGUAGAUGCAGGCAGGAGUCGAUCUACUUGUCACGGACAUGAUUCCUAUAUUCAUGAUCAUUGCCUUGGAUAUCAUCAUAACUAUGUGCUUUUCUAUCAAUUGCUCAACAGUAAUUUGUUUACCCAUUGUAUGUUUCUUUCAAGACAGAAGCCUCUAGUGAAACCUAUGGCUCCGGGUCUAUUUUUAUCAUAUUAUUUUUAGAUCUAUAAAACCAAAAACCCAAAAAUUCCUUGCUACAAUUUAUUUAUAUUUAGUUUAUUUUAUCUUUUCACUUAUAUUUUAUAUCAAUCUCUAUCAGAUCUCACCCUUGCUAGUGACCGUGAAGGGAUUGACAACCCCUUUUUCGCGUUGUGUGCAAGUGUUGUUAGUUUGUGUAAGUGCAUCUAUUGGAUACUUGUGUGUUCCUCCUACUGGUUUGAUACCUUGGUUCUUAACUGAGGGAAAUACUUAUCUUUACUUUGCCACAAGCUCAAGAAGUAGCAGGAAGAAUUUCUGGCGCCAUUGCCGGGGAGGAUCUACAUCAAGCCUACCAAGUACCUAUCAUAAACUCUCAUCUCUUGCACUUACAUUAUUUUCCAUUUGCCUCUUGUUUUCCUCUCCCCCACUUCGAAAACGUCUUCAGAAAAACACAAAAAUAUUUGCCUUUUUAUUCGCCUUCUUUCCGCCCGUCUCUUCGUUUUCUUUUUGUUUGCUUGUGUGCUAGAUUGCUUGCUUUGCCAUCAUGUUUGAAUCUUAGAAUCUUGUUAUCGAAAAUAGUAGUGAAAAUCUUGAACAAAAAAUUUGAAUCUUGUAUUCUUAAUCAUGAUCCUCUUGAUAAUGAAACCCCUACUCAUCUUAAAACAAAGAUCUAUCAUGUAGGUGACGAGAAUAUUAUUGGGAAGAAUUUUAUUCAAGAAUUCUUUGAUUGCAUGGGAGUAUGCCUUUAGAUAAGGGAUCUAUUCUUAAGUUAUACAAAUUGCUAUGCGGAUGCUAUUGCCAUGCUUGCGGUUAAAUUAGGAAGAUAAUUUUUACAUAUGCAUCCGGCCUUACAAAAGAUGUUUUACGAACUUCCCAACAUACAUGAUCCUAAGUCUAAGAAAAUCGCUAUAUUACCCUUAUGCGUGAGUUCGACUAUGUAAUUAGGGAAGCUAGAGAAAUGUUUUCCUAUUAUAAUAAAAAAAUUGAGCACCCUCCCGUAGAAGAAAUUCUCCAUGGUAAAGAAACUAUACGUGGUUUGGAGUCUAGGGAUUACCUUGCUUUUAGUGUGAAUCUAAGGAAAAGAGUCCUCUAUCCGGAAGUUAUACAAGCUUUAUACCUUGGUGCUUAUGAUAAAUUUGAUUGGAUUACUAAGGGAAUUGACUAGGGAUUUGAUAAGGAGUGGCUUGAAGAGAUGUCUAGGGAACCUAUUAAAGAUGAGUUACAUGUUUCAUAUGAUGAUAUUUUUGGUGAAGAUCCUGAGUAUGAAAUUAUGAAUGUCAAAUUUACUAAUCGAAGUCCUUUCCAUGCUUUAAGAUCUCCCACUAGAAGGGAAGAACAUGAAAAGAGGGAUUUACUAAGAAAGGUUUUUGAAGAUUUGAUUAGGAAAGAAUUAAAUACCAAAGAUGACAAUACCUAGAUCUGUGCAAUAUGCCUAGCUAGGGGCGUUAAACAAUAGCGCUUGUUGGGAGGCAACCUAAUUUUAUUUUAUGUUUUAUGUUUUUGCUCCUGUUCUUGAAUAAUUAUGCAAUAUCUAUAAUAAUUGUGUUUUAGUGUUUUAAUUAGUGUUUGUGCCAAGUAAGACCUUUGAGAUGAUUUGGGUGAUAGUUGAUUUGAUUUUGCUGAAAAACAAAAACUUUUGUGCCCAGUAACAGAAUUGAUAUGACCAGAUGGAAGGUGAUAAAUUCUAUAUUUUUUUACACAAUAUUUAUAUACAAAUUGCCUAAAUUUUCCUAUUUUUUCAUAAUUUUUGGAGUUACAGAAGUUUGGCUAAAGUCCACACUACUACAGACUGUUCUGUUUUUGACAAAUUCUGUUUUCAUUGUGUUGUUUGCUUAUUUUGAUGAAUCUAUGGGUAGUAUCGGGGGGAUAUGAACCAUGGAGAAGUUAGAAUACAGUAAAUAUAACACAAAUAUAAAAUUGGAAUGAGUUUAGAACAGUACCUAAAAGUGGUUAUUUGCUUUGUUUCACUAACGGAUCUCACAAGUUUUCUAUUGACUUUUGUGUUGUGAAAUUUUCAAGUUUUGAGUAAAAUUUUGAUGGACUACAGAAUAAGGAGUGGCAAGAUCCUAAGCUUGGGGAUUCCCAAGGCACCCCAAGGAAAUAUUCAAGGACAACCAAGCAUCUAAGCACCUAGUGGGCUAAGAAGCUGAAGGCCAAGAUGAAGGCCUUGUUCUGCAUGCAAGCAAAGGGACAGUACCGGACUCACGUUGCCUCCAAGGAGAGUCGCCGCCAUGACAAGAAGAUCAUGAAGGUUUUUGGAGAGGACAUUUCCAGCGGCUCCGAGAAGCACAUCACUCCAGAGGCUGACUGGAUGGCAAAACAAGGCUACAAGUGGACCGAUUCUGAGGAGGAGCCCAGCCCCGCUGCCGAGUUCGACGGAGAGCGUGCGAGUGACUACUCCGCUUGAGCCACCACUUGUGUUGUAGGUGUCCUCUCUACCUUUUUGGCGUCUCGAUGCCAAAGGGGGAGAGAGUGUAGGAUUUGCGAGUCUUGUGUCGUGUCGUGUUUGUUUCGCUUGCUUUCGUUCUGUUGAACCUCAUUUGCUUUGGUUUGGUUUGCGCGUGUGAGACCUCUCUAUCAUACGGUGUAAGACAUAUGCACUCUAUCAUACCUUAUUGAGCUUCUGCUAUCUUGUGCUAUUUAUUUUAUGCUCAUAGUUACUAUCUUGCUUAGUGUUAUCCUUAUUGUCGCAAGAUAUGCCUUGUCUCUAAAAUAUAGGGGGAGUGUUGAUCCUAGCAUGUGUGCCGUGUAGUCCAAAGCACUUAUCUAGAUAGCACACAUCUAGGGGGAGCCCGUCCAUAUUUUAGAAAUGUGGGGUUUGCUCAUGUUCUUUGUUAUCUCCCUUUAUGCAAAUCCCGCAUUGUCAUCAAUCCACCAAAAAGGGGGAGAUUGUAAGGGCAUAUUUAUCCCUUAGUUGUUUUGGUGAUUGAUGACAAUGCUUUUGCGGACUAAUCAUGUGCAUUGCGUAUUUCAGACAUUUCAUCACUAGGCACAAGACGAUUUGGUGCCCCUCGAAGACUAUUGAAGACGGUGUUUCUCUACGUUUCUUUUCGGUGGAUUUGAGUCGUAGGAAAGCCGUACUAUUAAGAGGGGGUCCGCUUUGGAAAGGUUUGGGUGGAAUCAUCACGUACACGUUUACUUCAUUUGCACCGCCUUUCCGUUGGCUCUUUGGAGCAUCCUCCGUCUUUUCAUGUCUUUGCAAAAUGUCGUGUUUGCUGAGCUGGGGCAUGCGGUAGUACUGCUCCUAGGAGUGGUAGUACCGCAGGCCCUUGCGGUAGUACCGGCCUCGGGCGCGGUAGUACCGCAAGUGCCCCCGGUAGUACCGCUUCCUUGGAGCGGUAGUACUGUGGCCUCAGGCCAGGCGCUGUGGCGUUUGCGGUAGUAGGGGCGGAUGUAAUUUUUUACAUCCGCGCCCUACGCGGUAGUACCGUGCACUCUGGCUAGGCUCAGCAGCCACGGAUGUAUUUUAUAUGUCCGUGCCUUCCCAAAAACUGGAACAUCCCUGCCUUGCGGUAGUACCGCAUGGGGGAGCGGUAGUACCGCGCCAGCAGUUCUACUGCCCUCUGUCUUAGUGCAUUUGGGCUGUCCUGGUUAGUGUUGCUCGGGCAGUAGUACCGCGGGGCCCUGCGGUAGUACCGCUGCCCUGGCGCGGUAGUACCGUGCUACGCAGGCUGAGUUGGUGGAUAAUGGUUGGAUUUGUCCCUCAACUAUAUAAGGGGUGUCUUCUUCCCCGAGUUGACCACCUCUUCCAUUUCCAAGCUCCAUUGUUGCUCCAAGCUCCAUUUUCGCCCGAUCUCUCUCCCUAGCCAAUCAAACUUGUUGAUUUUUUAGGGAUUGGUUGAGAAGGCCCCGAUCUACACCCAAGAAAAAUUUGAUUCCCCCACUAAUCCCUUGCGGAUCUUGUUACUCUUGGGUGUUUGAGCACCCUAGACGGUUGAGGUCACCGCGGAGCCAUAGUCCAUUAUGGUGAAGCUUCGUGGUGUCGUUGGGAGCCUCCAAUUAAGUUGUGGAGAUAGCCCCAACCUUGUUUGUAAAGGUCCGGUCGCCACCUCCAAGGGCACCAAUAGUGGAAUCACGGCAUCUCGCAUUGUGUGAGGGCGUGAGGAGAAUACGGUGGCCCUAGUGGCUUCUUGGGGGAGCAUUGUGCCUCCACACCGCUCCAACGGAGACGUACUUCCCUUCAAAAGGAAGGAACUUCGGUAACACAUCCUCGUCUUCACUGGCUCCACUCUUGGUUAUCUCGUGCCUUUACUUGUGCAAGCUUAUAUGUGUUAUAUCCCUUUCUUGCUUGUGUGCUUGUUGUUGUUGCAUCAUAUAGGUUGCUCACCUAGUUGCGUAUCUAGACAACCUACUUUGAUGCAAAGUUUAAAUUGGUAAAGAAAAGCUAAAAGUUGUUAGUUGCCUAUUCACCCCCCUUUAGUCAACUAUAUCGAUCCUUUCAAUUGGUAUCAGAGCCUCAUCUCUUUAUUAAGGACUUUGCCGUCCGAAGAGUAUGGUUGACACCGUAGACGGUGUGGAGGAGCACUCCGGUGCGAAUCCGGUCUCGUCUACGGGCGAUGGGGGAACCGCGGUCUCUCAUGAGGAAUUCAAUGUGGCUUUAGACACAUUGAAAACCUCCAUGAAGACCGAGGUUGAAAGCAUGUGUAAUAAGUUCAUAGAAGGGCUUAAAUUAUCCACCGCACCGAUGAAAGUGGGUGAUUCCACUAACAAGGUGACAGAUGCUAACUCCGACAAGGGGGAAGCUACUAGUGAAAAGGCUCCUUCUUCUAGUGGUAAAAAUGGCACCGGCAUCUUUGCCCAUGUGGAACCUCCACUUGUUUAUGGAGGACCGAUUCCCUCCACUCAUUUGAAUCAUGCCGGUCCUCCCCCUAAGAUUGUGAAAAAUGAGGACUUUGAUUCUUGGGUCUAUCUCUUUAAGCGCCAUUUAAACCAUGUUAAUACUAAUCUUUGGAGAAUCAUUGAAGAAGGUUUUUAUCCGCAUGAUCGAAGCAACAUCACUCCUAGAGAAGCCGCGGACAAUCAAUUCAAUGAGAAUGCUCUCUUCAUCAUCCAAGAUGCAAUCCCACCCGAAGAUCUUGCUCAUCUCCGGCCCUACUCCAUGGCCAAGGAUGCUUGGCACCAAGUUGUCUCACUCUAUAGGGGAAGCGCAAGCAUUCAAUGCUCCAACUAUGAAGUGGUGCAAGAUGAAGACGAUGAGUUUGCAAUGAAAGAGGAUGAAUAACCUCGUGAGCUUUAUCGGAGAUUAACUACUCUCGCGGUCUCUCUCCGAGAUCAUGGGAGCAAGGAUACAGAUGACAAUUGGAUCAAGCGCAAGUUCCUCAAGGCCAUGAUGCCUUAAAACAUGGCCAUGUCCUCCGUCAUUCGUCAAAGGCCGGAUUUCCACACGUUGUCCUCGAGUGAAGUAUUGGAUGAGUUCGUGGCAAUGAGUAUCUUGGACAAAACCGCUGACAAUGCGGUGUUACGUUCUCAAAGAGCAAAGAUGCCCAACCUUGCAUUGAAGGCCAAGGUUUGUGUGGAAGAAGAGGAUGAAGAGGAAGAAGAGGAGAGCAAUCCUGAAGAUACAAAGUAUGCUUAUCAUGAACACAUGGCUCUUGCUUCAAGGCAAUUUUGGAGUAAGAAGAACUCAAGGCCCAACUUCAACAAGAACAACUCAAGUGGCGCGAAAGUCAAGCAACGAGUGAGGACUUGCUAUAAUUGUGGCAAUGUGAGCCAUUUUGUUGCGGAAUGUCCUUAUGAGAAGAGGGAAGACAAUGGUGGCAAGCUCAUCCGAAAGGACAAGGCCAAGUCUUUCCCCAACAAGAGCAACUUCACCAAGAAGACUCCACCCAAGGGGUUGGUGGCACAAGAAGAGUACAAUGAGGAUGAUGAUGAUGCUGAAGGUGAGUCGGUUGCCGUGGCCUCCCUUGCCAUUGCAACAACUCCAUGGGUGUCUCUCUUUGACUCACCCAAUGAGAACAUCACCGCCAAGUGCCUCAUGGCUAAAGCCACCAACAAGGUAACCCCCAACAUUAAAACUACCAUCAUUAAUAAUCCUUGUUUGACGGAUUUCAUUGAUGAACAUGAGGGGUCUAAUGUGGAGAAGAAUGAAUUUGAGUCUUUUAUGAGUAAGCUUAAGGGUAAAUCCAAGAAGCACUUCGUUGCUCUCUUGGAACAACUUGGUGAAGCCAAUGACAUGAUCGAGGCUCACGAAGAUACCAUCUCUAAGGUGGAAGGGCAUAGUCGUGACUAUGCUGAUGAGAUUUCGGAUCUUUCCAAUGCUCUUGAGGAAGAGCGAGGUAUUCGUUUGGCUCUUGAGGAGUCAUUCAACGAUGACCAUGCUAAAUUAAAGAAAGAUCUUGAUCAUGCUCUUGUUGUAUCUCGUGUGCUAAUCUCCCAGAAGGCCAAGCUUGAGGUUGAUCUUGCUAGACUCAAAGAGGAGUUUGAUUUACUUGACAAGGCUCACAAGGUCUUGAAUGGUGCUCAUGCUAGCCUCAAAGAGUCUCAUGAUCAUCUCCAAGUAAAGCUAACCAAGGAGAAAGCCACCUUUCCUCAUAUGGUUUUAAUUGAUAAUGCAAAUGCUACUAACCCUUGUUGUGAGCAUGUGCAUCUUGUUGAGGAGAAUGCAAAGUUGAAGAAGCAACUUGAGAAAGGCCUUGUGUCGUGCAUACAAGGAGAGAAGAACCUCAAUGACCUUUUGAGCAAUCAAAAGGAAGUUGUGGCCAAGGAAGGAGUUGGUUUCACACCCAAGUCCAAGAACAAGAAGAAGGAUGACAAGGCCAAACGACCUCCCCCUCUCAAGCAAACCUUUGUGAAGGAGGGAGAGGGUGCUUCUAAGAAGAAGAAGAACAACAAUGUGGAGGGUAGUGAUGCUAAGAAGGGCAAUGCUACCCCUCCUAACAAAGCCGGCGACUUUAACCCUUCUUAUGUGUUAUGCCGUGCUAGUGAUGGACAUGUUUAUGCCAAAUUUGUUGGUUCUUCUUAUGAGUAAAUUGAAUGGUCUAUUUGGGUUCCUAAGACCCUUGUUACUAACAUCAAAGGACCCAUCACAAAAUGGGUACCUAAAACCAAGCAUUGAUUUCUUGUAGGUGUUUGCUUCCGGUGGGGGAUCAUGGUUGCUCGAUAGUGCAGCCACUAAUCAUAUGGCCGGAAGCAAGGACUUGGUGGUGGACGUUCACAAGAUUCCAUCUAUGCCCACCAAUGUCGAGUGGGGUGAUGCCUCGUCCUCUAAGGUAUUGGGACUUGGCAAGGUUGUCAUUUCUCAUGAUCUCACGAUCGAGAAGGUCAUGCUUGUUGAGUCCCUUGCGUACAAUUUACUUUCCGUUCAUCAACUUGCACUCAUGGGCUUUGCCACUUUCUUUGAUGUUGAUACCGUGGCACUCUUGUGGAUCAAGACUCUUAAAGUAGCCUUUGUUGGGCAUGUCGAGAACGGUCUCUAUGUGAUUAACUUUUCGGAGCGACCCACUAAGACCGUGACAUGCCUAAUGGCUAAAGUUGACGUGGGAUGGCUUUGGCAUCGCCGUUUAGCCCAUGUCAAUAUGAGAUCUUUGCAAAGUGUUCUCAAGGGGGACCAUGUCCGUGGACUAACAAAUGUUAGUUUUGCUAAAUAUCGUGCUUGCAGUGCUUGUAUCGAAGGAAAGCUACAUGAAAAGGCUCACCCUCCCACGACUAUCAUUUACUCGAAGAGGCCUUUGGAGCUCCUUCACUUGGAUCUCUUUCGGCCUCCAUCCUUUGAUAGCCUUGGGGGUAGAAAGUAUUGCUUGGUGAUUGUGGAUGAUUAUUCAAGAUACACUUGGGUAUAUUUCUUCAAGAGGAAGAGCGAGACCCAACAAACCGUCAUUGACUUUGCAAAUGAAGCCCAACGUCAACACAAUGCAAAGAUCUUGACAAUAAGAAGUGACAACGGCACCGAGUUCAAGAACUACACCUUGGAUGAGUUUCUUAGUGAUGAGGGGAUCAAGCAUCAAUAUUCUGCACCAUACACCCCUCAACGGUGUAGAGGAGAGGAAGAACCGGACGUUGAUGGAUGCGGCAAGGACCAUGAUGGCGGAGUUCAAGUCUCCAUAGAACUUUUGGGCCGAAGCCAUCAACACCGCGUGUCAUGCAUCCAAUCGGCUCUACCUCCGCAAGGGCUUGAACAAGACUCCAUAUGAGAUACUAACCGGUAACAAGCACAACCUCAAGUACUUUCGGGUGUUCGGGUGUAAGUGUUUCAUUCUCAAGAAAGGUGUUCAUUUGUCUAAAUUUGAGGCUAGAGCUUAUGAGGGCAUAUUUGUUGGUUAUGCUACAAACUCUCAUGCUUACCGUGUCCUCAGUAAGUCCACGGGACUUAUUGAGGAGACGUGUAACGUGGAGUUUGAUGAGAAUAACGGCUCCCAAGUGGAGCAAAGGCACUUGUGAUGUAGGUGAUGAAAUUCCUCCCCAAGCCAUAAGAAGAAUGGGAGUUGGUUUUAUCCUACCCAUUGAGGAACCCCUUGUGGCCGAAGGAGAAGGACAAUGCUCCACUCAAGUGGAGCCAUCACCAACCCAAGGCCCACACACUUCCGAAGAACAGAGUGAAGGCCCUCAACCUCAUGAACAAGACCACGGGCAAGAUCUACCUCAAGAUGGUGUUGAAUCACCAAAUGAUGCCCAAGGCCAAGUUCUCUCCUCCGAGCAAGUUCAAGAUCAAGAGCAAGCUCAAGAUCAAGCACAAUCUCAAGAUGGCUCUCAAGAUGAUCCAGUGACCGCUCCUCAACUCACCCCCGAGGAGGAAUUGGAGCGUCGUGCCGCCAAGAUUGCAUCCAAGCUCUCCACCAAGGGUCAUCUCAUGAAGAAUGUGCUUGGAAGCAUUCAAAAGGGGGUAAGCACUCAUAGACAAUUGGCAAACUAUUGUGAACAUCACGCGUUUGUCUCUUGUGUUUAACCCCAAAAGGUCUAUGAGGCGCUCGAAGAUCCGGAUUGGCUCAAUGCCAUGCAUGAAGAACUCAACAACUUAGAGUACAACAAGGUGUGGAGAUUGGUGCCAAGGCCAACGGGGAACCACAAUGUCAUUGGAACCAAGUGGAUAUUCAAGAACAAACAAGAUGCUCAUGGGACAAUAGUUUGCAACAAGGCAAGAUUGGUAGCACAAGGCUACUCCCAAGUCGAGGGUAUCGACUACGGUGAAACCUUUGCUCCCGUUGCUCGCCUUGAAUCCAUUCGUUUGUUGAUUGCUUAUGCUUCUCAUCAUAACUUUAAGUUGCAACAAAUGGAUGUGAAGAGUGCUUUUCUUAAUGGUCCUAUUAAUGAGUUGGUAUAUGUCAAACAACCCCCCGGGUUCGAGGAUCCCUACUUCUCGGAUCAUGUGUAUCAACUCGAUAAGGCACUCUAUGGCCUUAAACAAGCCCCACGUGCGUGGUAUGACCACCUUACCGAGUUGUUGCAAGAUCGUGGAUUUGAAGUUGGGAAAAUCCACCCCACUCUUUUUACUAAGAAGGUCAAAGGGGAGUUGUUUGUGCGCCAACUAUAUGUUGAUGAUAUUAUCUUUGGUUCCCCUAACAAAGCUUUCAAUGAGAAAUUUGCCGCUCUCAUGACCUCUAAGUUCAAGAUGUCUUCGAUGGGAGAGUUGAAGUUCUUCCUUGGAUUCGAAGUCAAACAAAGAAGAGAAGGAACCUUCAUCAACCAAGCCAAAUACACUCAAGACAUGCUAAAGAGAUUCAAGCUAAGUGAUGUCAAGCCGACUUCCACUCCAAUGCCCACCAAGUGCCAACUUGGCAUUGAUCCCAAUGGUAAAGUGGUGGAUCAAAAGGUAUAUCACUCCAUGAUUGGCUCCUUGCUUUACCUUUGUGCAUCUAGACCGGAUAUCAUGUUGAGUGUGGGAAUUUGUGCAUGGUUUCAAGCCGCUCCUAAGGAAAGCCACUUUCUGGCGGUCAAGCGAAUCAUUCGAUAUUUGGCUCAUACCCCAAACUUUGGCUUAUGGUACCCAAGAGGAGCAAACUUCAAGCUUGUAGGUUAUUCGGACUCGGAUUGGGCGGGAGACAAAGUGGAUAGGAAGUCCACUUCUAAAGGGUGCCAAUUCCUUGGUUGCUCUUUGGUAAGUUGGUCUUCUAAGAAGCAAAGUUGUGUGUCUCUCUCGUCCACCGAAGCAGAGUAUGUGGCGGCCGGUAGUUGUUGUGCACAACUUCUAUGGAUGAGGCAAACUUUAAAGGAUUACAGUGUCAUUUGUGACAAAGUGCCUCUUUGGUGUGACAAUGAAAGUACCAUCAAGAUUUCUCUCAACCCGGUGCAACACUUCAAGACGAAGCAUAUUGAGAUUCGGUAUCACUUAAUCCGGGAUCACAUUUAGGCGAGGGGAGAUCGAGCUCAACUACGUCAACACUCAUGAUAACCUUGCAGAUAUUUUCACGAAGCCCUUGGAUGAAGCAAGAUUUCGCGAGUUAAGGCAUGAGCUAACGAGCAAUGUUGCUUGAACCCUUGCACACCCCACCAUACUCAACUUGUUAUCUUGUUUAGGUGUAGGCAUGUAUAUAAGGGGAGUGUUGUUCUCUCAAUGAACUCUCCCUCCCGCAUUAUGCAUAAAUUGAUCAACUCUUUCACAUUAACCAUUGUUGAUGGAACUGGUGCUUCAAGGACGAGUUUUGGUCAUGGGCCCAAGGAUAAUUCUUCGCGGCGCCAUACCAAUUGACUCAAACAUAGGUGGCUCCGGCCACCGCCCUCUUUUUGGAGAGGUUGUGUUGCGUGUCUAGUCUUUGUUGUCUCUUGUCUCUCUUUCUUCGUGCCGAGCGUGUGUGUGAUGUCUCUUGUGUCAGCGUUUUGGUCCGUCCGUUCGCUUGAAGGUUGCCUUGCAAAGGCCCCUUGUUCUUCUCUGGUUUGAAACUUGCAUUGUCUUGGGCAGACGGUACUACCACGGCUUGCCACGGUACUACCGCGGGAGCUGCUCACGGUACUACCGCACCCAGCAUGGCCGUAAUGUUUUACUGCCGCCUGGGGGAGCAGUACUACCGCCCUCGGUGCGGUACUUCCACCCAGGCGGUACUACCGCGAUGACAUGCGGUACUACCACGCAGUCGAGAGCGCGUGGAGGUUAAGAGCGGGCAGGGGGAGUUCCAACUCCCCCAUACCCAUUCACUCUUCCUCCCCACGCCGUCUCUCUCUCUCUCCUGCCCAAGAACGACGCCGAAGACCCUCGCCGGAUCUCCGUCUCUGGCCGCUCUCCUCGGAUUCGGGCCGGGUGGGAUCGUUCCCUACCACUUCCUCUUGCCAUGGAACAAGGUUUCUCCCCAAAUCCCUCUCUCCUUGGUUCGUUCAUUUGCUUCUAGGUUUUUGGGGAGAUGCAUGUUGUUCUUGAGAUUUUAGGCCAAAUCUAUGCAAGAGUAGGAUGUAGGAGAGUAGUAAUGCGUAGAGAUUGUACUUGCUAUGUUGCCCCGUGGUAGAUUUGAUCAAUCGUAGUACUGCGUCGUUGUCACGGUUGCGCUCAGAUCCAAUUGUGGACUCGGAUCUGCCGCCGUGCGGUACUACCGCUCCUCUGGAGCGGUACUACCGCGCAGGGCGCGGCACUAAAAUGUUACUGCCGCUCCAAGACACGGUACUACCGUGCCACCGUGGCACGGUACUACCGUUGCUAGGAGCAGCACUAAAAUUUUAGUACCGCGCACCCAUGCGAUACUACCGUUGUUGUCAAAUCUCCCUCAUGGCAAUUACCAAGUGCGCCUUCUACUUGUUUCACCUGUUUUGCUGUGGUCUUGCAUUGAUCUUUCUCGCUUCUCGUGCGUGUUUUGUGUUGUGUCUUAGGUGGUGGCUCCAGUGCCCCUGCUCGCCAUUCCAAUCCCAGCCGUGACACGGGCUCCAAGCGUCUGCGCAACCAAGACGAAGCUCCAGAGGGCUCCAAUGCCCCACAACGCAAGACCAAGACCACCGCCACCAAGAACAAGGAGCCCUCCAUGGGCAUGGAUGAGAUACCACUGGUUGAGUUUAUCACUCAAAGGAAGAUCAACCCCUAUGUGAAUCCUCGUGCCAACUUCAGAGGGAAUGACCUGUUCUGGACCAAGCAACAGAAUCUCAUUUAUCUAGAUGUGAUCAAGGGGAAGCAGAACAUAUAUGUGGACGUGCACUGGAUUGACAUGAAUCACAUGAGGGAUGAUAAGCACCGUGCCUACUUUGGUGAGGCCUUGGAUCUCGUGGAGCAAUUUGCCAUUGAGGAUGUGAUCUCUUUCCACCUGGACUUUGAUCCCGAGCUUGUGGCCCAGUUCUUUGCUUCGGUUCACUUUCACCCUGAUGAGGAACGAAGGAUGACCUGGAUGACCAAUGGAUGUUAGUUGACUGCUACAUGGAAGGACUUCAUGGAUUUGCUCCACGUACCUGAUGAGGGGCUCAACACGCCCGUUGGUGUUCGCCCUCAUGCCAACUCCGAGUCAGCCAACAAGAACAAGCUCCAGCAGUGUUAUGUUGAGAAGUUGCUUCCUAAUGGCAAGAAGACGCGGGUGCUGAACUCUUUCCUGGACAUCAUGCAUCGCAUCUUCCGCAACUCCCUCUUCCCCCGCAUUGGUGACAAGGACAAGGUGCAUGCCUAUCUUGUGGAUAUGAUGCUCCUUUGUGAGGAGGCGCGCAUUUCUAAGGCGCAACCACUUGAUGUCUCACAUAUCAUGUGGUGCGAGCUUCGGUUCGCGGUGUUCAACCGCAAGGUACCCAUCUAUGGACCUUACCUGUUUCUGUUGAUCUCGAAGACUUGGGAGAAGCUGUUUCCCGGUGAUGAGUUUCUUGCUCCUGACUGGACUCGUCAUGAGCCCAUCAAGCUCCGUGUCAAGACCCAGUGGGCCAACACUACUACUCGUGUUGAGGCUGAGGCUGCUAGGAUGGAUGUUGAUGAGGAGGAGAUUGAGGAGGACGACACAGAUGAGGACAACUCUGUUGGGCAUGCUCCUCCCUCUGCUGAGCCCUCGUGGGCUAAGAAGCUGAAGGCCAAGAUGAAGGCCUUGUUCUGCAUGCAAGCAAAGGGACGGUACCGGACUCACGUUGCCUCCAAGGAGAGUCACCGCCGCGACAAGAAGAUCAUGAAGGUUUUUGGAGAGGACAUUUCCAGCGGCUCCGAGAAGCACAUCACUCCAGAGGCUGAGCGGAUGGCAAAACAAGGCUACAAGUGGACUGAUUCUGAGGAGGAGCCCAUCCCCGCUGCCGAGUCCGACGGAGAGCGUGCGAGUGACUACUCCGCUUGAGCCACCACUUGUGUUGUAGGUGUCCUCUCUGCCUUUUUGGCGUCUCCAUGCCAAAGGGGGAGAGAGUGUAGGAUUUGCGAGUCUUGUGUCGUGUCAUGUUUGUUUCGCUUGCUUUCAUUCUGUUGAACCUCGUUUGCUUUGGUUUGGUUUGCGCGUGUGAGACCUCUCUAUCAUAUGGUGUAAGACAUAUGCACUCUAUCGUACCUUAUUGAGCUUCUGCUAUCUUGUGCUAUUUAUUUUAUGCUCAUAGUUACUAUCUUGCUUAGUGUUAGCCUUAUUGUCGCAAGAUAUGCCUUGUCUCUAAAAUACAGGGGGAGUGUUGAUCCUAGCAUGUGUGCCGUGCAGUCCAAAGCACUUAUCUAGAUAGCACACUUCUAGGGGGAGCCCGUCUAUAUUUUAGAAAUGUGGGGUUUGCUCAUGUUCUUUGUUAUCUCCCUUUAUGCAAAUCCCGUAUUGUCAUCAAUCCACCAAAAAGGGGGAGAUUGUAAGGGCAUAUUUAUCCCUUAGUUUUUUUGGUGAUUGAUGACAAUGCUUUUGCGGAAUAAUCAUGUGCAUUGAGUAUUUCAGACAUUUCAUCACUAGGCACGAGAUGAUUUGGUGCCCCUCGAAGACUAUUGAAGAUGGCGUUUCUCUACGUUUCUUUUCGGUGGAUUUGAGUCGUAGGAAAGCCAUACUAUUAAGAGGGGGUCCGCUUUGGAAAGGUUUGGGUGGAAUCAUCACGUACAUGUUUACUUCAUUUGCACCGCCUUUCCAUUGGCUCUUUGGAGCAUCCUCCGUCUUUUCAUGUCUUUGCAAAAUGUCGUGUUUGCUGAGCUGGGGCAUGCGGUAGUACUGCUCCUAGGAGCGGUAGUACCGCAGGCCCUUGCGGUAGUACCGGCCUCGGGCGCGGUAGUACCGCUUCCUUGGAGCGGUAGUACUGUGGCCUCAGGCUAGGCGUUGUGGCGUUUGCGGUAGUAAGGGCCGAUGUAAUUUUUUACAUCCGCGCCAUACGCGGUAGUACCGCGCCAGCGGCGCGGUAGUACCGUGCGCUCUGGCCAGGCUCAGCAGCAUGCGCGGCAGUAGGGGCGGAUGUAAUUUUUUACAUCCGCACCCCACGCGGUAGAACCGCUCCUGGCUUAUGGUACUACCGUGUCGGAUUUUUGCACGGACUCCAACUCAGCAGAAGUUGCCACGGAUGUAUUUUUAUAUGUCCGUGCCUUCCCAAAAACUGGAACAUCCCUGCCUUGCGGUAGUACUGCAUGGGGGAGCGGUAGUACCGCGCCAGCGGUUCUACCUCCCUCUGCCUCAGUGCAUUUGGGCUUUCCUGGUUAGUGCUGCUCGGGCGGUAGUACCGCGGGGCCCUGCAGUAGUACCGCACGCCCUUGCGGUAGUACCGCUGCCCUGGCGCGGUAGUACCGUGCUACGCAGGCUGAGUUGGUGGAUAACGGUUGGAUUUGUCCCUCUACUAUAUAAGGGGUGUCUUCUUCCCCGAGUUGACCACCUCUUCCAUUUCCAAGCUCCAUUGUUGCUCCAAGCUCCAUUUUCGCCCGAUCUCUCUCCCUAGCCAAACAAACUUGUUGAUUUUCUAGGGAUUGGUUGAGAAGGCCCCGAUCUACACCCAAGAAAAAUUUGAUUCCCCCACUAAUCCCUUGUGGAUCUUGUUACUAUUGGGUGUUUGAGCACCCUAGACGGUUGAGGUCACCGCGGAGCCAUAGUCCAUUGUGGUGAAGCUUCGUGGUGUCGUUGGGAGCCUCCAAUUAAGUUGUGGAGAUAGCCCCAACCUUGUUUGUAAAGGUCCGGUCGCCGCCUCCAAGGGCACCAAUAGUGGAAUCACGGCAUCUCGCAUUGUGUGUGGGCGUGAGGAGAAUACGGUGGCCCUAGUGGCUUCUUGGGGAGCAUUGUGCCUCCACACCGCUCCAAUGGAGACGUACUUCCCUUCAAAAGGAAGGAACUUCGGUAACACAUCCUCGUCUUCUCCGGCUCCACUCUUGGUUAUCUCGUGCCUUUACUUGUUCAAGCUUAUUUGUGUUAUAUCCCUUGCUUGCUUGUGUGCUUGUUGUUGUUGCAUCAUAUAGGUUGCUCACCUAGUUGCAUAUCUAGACAACCUACUUUGAUGCAAAGUUUAAAUUUGUAAAGAAAAGCUAAAAAUUGUUAGUUUCCUAUUCACCCCCCUCUAGUCAACUAUAUCGAUCCUUUCAAUCAUUAUUAGAGCAUUGUCCCAUGUGAGGAAGGGAUGAUGGAGACUAUGAUUCCCUCACAAGUCGGGAUGAGGCUCCGGACUUCUAAUAAAAAGAGGCCAAAGAUCCCAAAAUAAAAAAAGAGCCCAAAGAGCCCAAAAGAAAAAAAAUGAGAGAAGAAGAGAGAAGGGACAAUGUUACUAUCAUUUUUCCACACUUGUGCUUCAAAAUAGCACCAUGUUCUUCAUGAUAUAGAGUCUCCUAUGUUGUCCCUUCAAUAUAUUACUAGUGGGAAUUCUUCAUGAUGGGCUUCCUCAAAAUUUCCCUAGGUCUUCGUGAGCAUGCGAGUUGGAUGCACACCCACUUAGUUUUCUUUUGAGCUUUCAUACACUUAUAGCUCUAGUGCAUCCGUUGCAUGGCAAUCCCUACUCACUUGCACCGAUAUCAAUUGAUGGGCAUCUCCAUAGCCUAUUAAUUUGUCUAGUUGGUGUGAGAAUUUCUUUCUCCUUUUUGUCCACCACCACCUUCUGUUCCACCCAUAGUGCUAUAUCCAUGACUAACGCUCAUGUAUUUCGUGAAAAUUGAAAAAGCUUUGGAACGUCAAAAGUAUGAAACAAUUGCUUGGCUUGUCAUCGGGGUUGUGCAUGAUAAAUACUUUGUGUGAUGAAGAUAGAGCAUGACAAGACUAUAUGAUUUUGUAGGGAUAACUUUCUUUAGCAAUGAUAUUUCAAAAUGCCAUGGUUGUUUUAUUAGUAUGGUUGAAGUAUUAUUGUUUCUUUGUCAAUAUUAAACUUUUGUUUUGAAUCUUAUGGAUCUAAAUAUUCAUACCACAAUAAGAAAGAUUACUUAUAAACAUGUUAGGUAGCAUUCCAUAUCAAAAAUUCUGUUUUUAUCAUUUACCUACUCGAGGACGAGCAAGAAUUAAGCUUGGGAUGCUUGAUACGUCUCCAACGUAUCUAUAAUUUUUGUUUGUUCCACGCUAUUAUAUCAUACAUCUUGGAUGUUUUAUAUGUAUUAAUAUACUAUUUUAUAUCAUUUUUUGGGACUAACCUAUUAACCUAGUGCCCACUGCCAGUUGUUGUUUUUUUCCUUGUUUUUGUCUUCUACAGAAAAUCAAUACCAAACGGAGUCCAAACGAAACGAAACUUUUUGAGGAUUUUUCUUGGACAAGAAUACAACCACGAAGCUCCAGGAGGAGGCCAUGAGAGAGCCACAAGCUCAGAGGGCGUGCCCCAGGUGGGCGCGCCACCCAGGCUUGUGGGCCCCACGGGACCCCCCUAACUCUAAUUCCAGCUCCAUAAAUACCCGAAUAUUCCCCGUAUACCAGAGGGCACACCAAAAAUACUUUUCCGCCACCACAAGCUUCUGUUCUCGUGAGAUCCCAUCUUGGGGACUUUUCUGGCACUCUACCUGAGGGGGAUUCAAUCAUGGAGGGCCUUUACACCAACCUUGCUGCCCUUCCGAUGAUGUGUGAGUAGUUUAUGAAAGACCUACGGGUCCAUAGCUAGUAGCUAGAUGGCUCUUCUCUCUCUUUGAUCUUCAAUACAAUGUUAUCCUUGAUGUUGUUGGAGAUCUAUUCGAUGUAAUCUCUUUUGCGGUGCAUUUGUUGAGAUCCGACGAAUUGUGGGUUCAUGAUCAGAUUAUCUAUGAAUAUUAUUUGAGUCUUCUCUGAACUCUUAUGAAUGAUUAAGAUAGCUUUGUAUUUCUCUCCGAUCUAUUGAUUUGGUUCGACCAACUAGAUUGAUCUUUCUUGCAAUGGGAGAGGUGCUUCAUGAUGGGUUCAAUCUUGCGAUGUUCUCACCCAGUGACAGUAGGGGUAGCGAGGCUUGUAUUGUUGCCAUUAAGGAUAAAAACAUGGGUUUUACCAUAUUGAUUGGAUCUAUCCCUCUACAUCAUGUCAUCUUGCUUAAGGCGUUACUCUGUUCUUGUGAACUUAAUACAUUAGAUGCAUGCUGGAUAGCAGUCGAUGUGUGGAGUAAUAGUACUAGAUGCAAGUAGCAGUCGGUCUACUUGUCACGGACGUGAUGCCUAUAUUCAUGAUCAUUGCCUUGGAUCUCGUCAUAACUAUGCACUUUUCUAUUAGUUGCUCAACAGUAAUUUGUUUACCCAUCGUAUGUUUCUUUCAAGAGAGAAGCCUCUAGUGAAACCUAUGGCCCCGGGGUCUAUUUUUAUCAUAUUAUUUCCAGAUCUAUAAAACCAAAAACCCAUAAAUACCUUGCUGCAAUUUAUUUAUAUUUACUUUAUUUUACCCUUUCACUUAUCUUUUAUAUCAAUCUCUAUCAGAUCUCACCCUUGCUAGUGACCAUGAAGGGAUUGACAACCCCUUUUUCGCGUUGUGUGCAAGUGUUUGUUAGUUUGUGCAGGUGCAUCUAUUGGAGACUUGUGUGUUCCUCCUACUGGAUUGAUACCUUGGUUCUUAACUGAGGUAAAUACUUAUCUCUACUUUGCUGCAUCACCCUUUCCUCUUCAAGGGGAAAAUUAGAGAUGACCAAUGAUCCACGAUAUGUGGUCCCGUCGCCCCGUCUCACGGACUUACGACAAGGGCUAAGAAUACCUCCCAUGCCGCGUAGUUCUCUCGUGGGUACCCUCCAGGUCAACCCGACUCCACAUCACUUGCGGGUACCCUCACGGUCAAGCCGACUCACAAGAUACUGUCGGGAACCCAGGUCCACCUCUACCGGGGUGGUACCGCCUGUCCCUCCAGUCCCGCAGAAACAGUAACUCUCACGGGUACCCAUCGGGGCCGACUCGUCUUUAACAUGGUUCUGGGGUAAAGUCAAAGUAGCCGCGUGUCUAUAACAUCAAGGGGGAAAACCCUAGGAAUCACCCUUGAUGGAUUCCACGGGAUGUAACCGUCAAGGCGAGCUUGGAGGAAUCACCCUCGAGGGUUCACACUUGAGGUGUUGCACAACAGAGUCAUUAUCAGGAGUGGUGAAGGAGGAAUCACCCUCCGUAGACCACGCCCGAUGAACUACACUACAGAGAUCUCAUCGGAAGUGCUAUACGAGGUAUCACCCUCGUCACUCAUAGUAGCUCUACAGAGUCGUACAACUAAGGGGGUGUGCGGUGAUGUAUUGGGCUCAGUACAUCGAUCACGUUGAUCAGGUCAUCUAUGAUAAAGCGGGGGCAACAUGGACAAGGUGAGGGGUCUCUGGUGGAUCACUAAACAACCUAUCUAAGAAUUUAGGAUAACAGGUAAGGUAACAACAGUAGGUUACAAAAGUAGGCUAUGCACCAGAUUAGGAGUUAUGGAACAAUAGUAGCAAAAUCUAAUGCAAGCAUGAGAGAGAAAGAUAUGGGCAAUAUAGAAAUGUUCAAGUGGGUUUUGCUUCCUGGAAGCUCUGCAGACAGACUUGGACCCUCGACGAUGAAGUGGUCGAUCACCAGAUCAACAACGGUCUCGGGGUCUACCAGAGCAGAAGGAGGGGGAAGAAAAAAAUAGCAGGCAUACAAAUACAACAAAAAGCAUGACAUGAUCGUAAUCUAUGCUAGGGGUGACCUAUCGCAUUGCUAAGUGUUAUAGACGGAGUGAGAAAAUAUCCGGGGAUAUUUCCCAGCUUUCGGCGGUUUUCGGACAAAUGAACUGGAGGGGACGGUUCCAUGUUCAUCAUGUUAGAGGCAGGUGACAAAUGAGUGGAUAGCAUAUUCGGAUUCGUCAUGUUUUUUGAGCAAUUUUCAUAUAUAAAUUAAUUUCAACCGAUUUACGGUUUAUUUUAUAUGAUUUUUCAAAGUUUUAAACAUUUCUUGAAAUUUACUGGAUUUAAAUUAAUUCGAAAAAUAAAAAAGAAUAAUUGCUAUGUGCACACGGCAGUGCGCACUGUGGCUGACAGUGGGCCCUGUUGACUGGGUCAACAGGCCAGUCAGCAGAGGCUGACUCGUGGGGCCCCUGCUGACUCAGCAGGUCCAGUCAAUAGUCAACAGGACCAUUGACUGGUCAAAACUGACCAGUGGGACCCCACUGUUAGGGAUAGAGCCCAUUUAACAUGGUUUUAUUUACUUUAACUAAUCUAGUUUAGCUAGUGGGCCCCAUAGUGAGUGUCACUAAUUAAACGAAUCGUUAUGUAGGGUGGGACCCGGUAGUCAUUGGCUGUUAAGUUAACUAAAAAGGUUUUGAGGCAAGAUAAUUUCAUCUAAAUUUUUUAUAUGAAAUUUGAUUAAAUAGGGUUGUUUAGGUACUAUUUUCAUGAUGAAAGAUUCCUCAAAGGAUUUUUAGUGACGUUGUUUUCCCCAACAUAAUUACUUAGGAAAAAAUUGUAAAAUUAUGAACUAUUGUGUUUUCGUUUUUGAAGAUGUAGAUUUUUGACUUGAAAUUUAAAAUUUGAAAAUGGCCUUGAUUUUUCUUAAGUGGUAAUUUGACUUAGUCAAACUUGAUGACAUGGCACCAUUAGUGGGAGAUUACUGUAGCAUGACACUGGGGGUGUUAAAGUGCGUGCCGAGCCCGCCGGAUACAAGCCAUGCAACUCUCUGCGUGGCGGAUCAAGGAUUUCAGACUUUAUUAGUUGAUUACGCGAAGUUGUCCAAUGAUUUCUUGAAAAGGUAUCAAGAGCUCAAACCACUGAAGGUAUCCUAUGAUGAUCUUAAGAAAUAAAAUGAUUCUCUCUUCGGCGAACAAACUAAAAUGUUUCCUGGAUUUGUAUCACCUUGCCUAAAAUGUUUAGAGCAUAGCAAUGCCGAUUCCACUCCUGAUACAUCUACAACUGUUGAAAGAAAUGCAACUAAUGUUAUUGUUGAAACUAACUCCUCCUCCAAGGAAUAUGUUGCAAUUUCUGAUGAGAGUGCUAGGUUGAAUAACUUGUUUGAUACUGGACUGCUCAAAAGUCUCAAAGGGCACCAGACUCUUUGUGAUGUGCUCAAGAAGUCGAUUCUUCACAAAAAUCCUAGAAAGGAAGGUUUGGGCUUCGAGAGAAAACUAAGUGCUGAUGCUACUUACUAGACGCCCGUACGAUAUCCUAGGACAAGUUGGGUCCUUGCCAAGAGAAACAAACUCUCGAACCUGCAUUACUAUUUUGAUAUGACUAUCCCAUUCUUGUUGAUGAUGAUGAGUUGCUCAACUCUAACUACAAAUUGUUAAAGCAAGAGAAUGGCAGUGUUUUUGCUCGGUAUUUUGGCACUAAUUGCAGGAUAGGUUCACCCAAGAAGCAAACAUGGGUUGAGAAAUUCAUCAUUUGAAAAGCUUAAUGUUACUUCUAAUCUGACCUUGUAGGGAAAUUAUCUUCGAGGAAAUGAAAAUUCUUUGCAGUAUGGCGCUGCUUACUCCUUGAAGAGAAAUAGAUUGAAUAAUCUAUAGAAGGACUACAUGUGUACUUCUUCAAAACAUGAUGUGCAUGUCUCUGGAAAUGGAAUCAAUGCCUAUUCCUAUGAUUAUGCUAAGUUGCUAACACUUCACACAUGAAAAAUUCUAGAGCUUCUCGAAAGAUAAUGAUUCCCGCUCGACCAAAAAAUGUGUUUGAACCUAUGGGUGGUGAAGACUUACUAAUCUUUCUUCCAGGAAAAAUGUCACAGGGCAUCACAAUUUGUAUCUUAUGCCACGAGAUAUAAUUUUUGGUAGCGGGGAAUUACUCUCUUUCUGAAAGGAAUUCAUUCCUACCCUUAUCUACCUUCUACUCAUCUUCUGUUAUUUGUUUGAGUCAUUAGGUUUCCUUUUUUAUCUUCGUGUUUCCCCUCUUUUCUUUGUUUCUUAGGAUGCUCUUCUAUUCUAGAUUUGGUGUUUCAUCCAAUGAACUUAUCACUCAUAGCUAUCUACUUUAUUUUUAUUCUUUAUCUGGCCGAGUGAUUUUGUUUCGUACCCUUUCCCCUCUAGUCAUUCUCGCCCAAAUCUAUGCUUGUAGUUAUGGGCACGUAAUUUGUCAGAAAUGCAUUUCUCACUGACGUCAUUUUUCAUGAGAGAUAUGCCUAAAAAAUUAAUCUAUUUUGGUGAAAGCCCUCGAAAGGCUGGGCCUCUGAAAGCGCAGGUUAUCUCCCAGAGGGGGGUGAAUGGGAGAUUUUUAGAAAUUCGUCGAACUCUAAAGAAUUUGACAAAGAUCGGAGUGAAAAAUUGAAACACAAGGGAAACUAAGUCAUCACAGAAUCAGAAUACUUGCAAUCAGGAUAUGUUGUAGUGAAGAACAUGCCAUCAUACACGCAUGAAGAAUAUGAACAGAGGAAAUGAAAGAUAGCAUGAUAAAAUUCUUCAGUUCAAAUUUGUCAAACGAUAGAUUACAGAUUCUUUAGCAGUGGAAUAAUGUAAGGGGGGUGAGUAAUUUGAAACUAGGUUGGCUUGGUGAAGACAAUGCAAUUUGUUAGACUAGUUCCAGUUGUUGUAUCAACUGUACGUCUAGUUGAGGCGGCUGAGUCACAACUCAGAGGAGACACAGUCCUCACUGUAUUUGUCUUGAGCUAAGAUCACUUGUCCUCGCCCAACCACUUGUGGUGAGUCUUCAAGGUAGACUUCCAAAACCUUCACAGACUUGUUCACUCACACACCACAAUGACUCUUGGUGUACUCAGAACUUGACGCCUAACCGUCUAGAAGAAUGACAGUCUUCAAAGGUAACAGGAGUUGGAUCACACAGAUCAAUCUAUUCAGUGAUGCUCAAUCACUUUGGCUCUGUGUUUUUCCUCACUUAGGAUUCUCUCAAAGUCGUCAGAGGAUGGGUUGCUCUCAAGUGACAAGUGUCAAGUUCUCUCAGAGCAGCCAACCAACAAGUGGUUGUGGGGGCUGCUAUUUAUAGCUAGGGUCGACGUGACAUGAAUUGUCAUAAAUGCCCUUCUCUGAUUCGACCGUUGUCAGGAUAAGGAUCCACUCGACAGCUGGCCCGCGGCGCAGCAAUGGUCGGAAUUUGAACCCUCAAAUUCGUCGGGGCAUUCAAUUUCCUCACCGUAGGCAGAUCGCACCGGCGAACUCCUAAUUCCUUAGCCUGAACAAAUUCGUCAGCGACAAGAUGAACUUCAUCACUGUCACUAGCAAACGCAUGAGCUGUUCCGGAGAUUUCCAAAGGCUUCACUCGAAGCGGCUUGUGUAUGUAUAGGUUUGAGUAAGUUUGGGCAUCACUUUGGAAAUGUGAAAUAUGUUUCACCUAGACCCCCUUUAACAGUACGGUUUUUCCUAUGACUGACAUAAGAAGAAAAGAAACUAUGAAAACGAAAGUCUUCAAGCUUCAAAGUCUUCACAUCAAUUUCUUCAAAGGUCGUACCAAUUUCAUCAUCAAAUUAUCCACUUGAAGAAAUCCAUUUUUAGGGGGUGAUCUUCCAUGUGUUAAGCCAAAUCUUCAGGGACUCUACCUUCUGUGUAUACUCAUGAACACAUUAGUUCCUCAACCUAUUUGUUUUCAAUACUCCAAAACCACUAAGGGGGCACUUGAUGCACUUACAAUCUCCCCCUUUUUGGUGAUUGAUGACAAAUUGGUUAGGCUUUCAAUGGGAGUAAAAAUAAUUGAAGUGUAAGUACUGAGUUUGAAGAAAUUGGUUACGAGAUAUGGAGGAACUCCCCCUGAAGAUGUGCAUAUGAGGAUUUUGCUUUUGGAUUGAAAUGCACAUGGUAGGUUAAAAUUAUGGAGAUCUUCCCCUAUAUCUUGUAAUCCAAUCAUGCAUGAUCAUAAGAUAUUUGAAGAAUAUGGAUGCAUGAUGAAAAUUGGUGUCUGAUGAAAUUGUGCAUGCAUGAGAAAAUAUAUGUAAGGUCAGAGCAUGCGUAUCAAGAGUAGCAAAAGAUUUAGACAACCAACAGUUAUUAAGUUACAACUCAUCAAAGAGCAAAUCAAAUGAAAACCAAGAGUUGCACCUUAAGCAGAAACAACCCAUAUAUAAACCCGCUUGAAGACUAACUCAAACUUCUCCCCCUUUGUCAUCAAAUGACCAAAAUGAGACAAAGCUGAGG